rnacentral:lncRNA from 1 species
UCUUUUUUUUUUUUUUGUUUGUUAAACUAACUUAACUUUUAAUCCACAUGUGGAAAUUAAACAAUUCCCACAAUCUAUAGUUCACAACUUCAAACGUCAGUAACUAUAUUGUUAUAAUUCGGACUCGCAAACGGUUUUCGCCUAUGCGUUCGUGGGUUCGAGAUCUAUUUAAAAACACUAGUUGUAACUUCGAAAUAUCAACGAAAGAUAAAGAUUGAUUAAGAAACUUCCAACUCGAUAACUAAUCAAUUACUAAACUUAAAAUUAACGGAAUUAAAAUUAACUAAUAAAGAUAACGUAAUCGCGAAAUACGAAUUUAAAAUAUGAGAUACAUAAUGAAUGGUGAAAUUCUGGGGAUGGGCUUUCAUACCCUGAGUUCAUAUAUGCCAUUUUUAGGACCUGAAAACCUCAAAAACCCCGAGAACUCUAACCUCCGAUUUGGUGCACUGUUUAUGCACAUGUAAAUGUGAAGGUUUCAGGUGAUUUGAAGUUUGUCGGAAGCUUUAAAACAUCCCUACGAAGCUCGGAGAAGAAAAACCAAGCGAUUUGGACGUCAGGAUCGUCAGUUUCAAGCUUGGCCGGUUUUUCUUGAAAUUCUCCGGUGAGAUCCCGUGGGAUUUAGGUCCUAAAAUUGGUAUGGGUUUGUUCUACUUGUCCUAAGCUUCAUUUUGAUAUAUAAUUCGUGAAAUUUGGUUAAAAAUCGAGUGAGAUAUCAAGGUUUUAAGAUUUGCCCAGUUGCCGACGACGGUCGUCGAAGUCCUAAGGUUAGGGGUGACGGAAUAUUCCUAACAGCGUUGGUUAGUUUAAACGGAUUUCAUUACUAUUUAACGGAAUAUUCCUAACGGCGUCACUGUUGCCGUUGGUGUGCCAGGCACAUGCCCUGGCAUGGGUGGCGCGUCUGACCGUGCCUUGGCCGGUGCGUGGGUGGUAGAAAAUUUUUUCUAAAAAUAUGGGGAUGUUCGUGAGGUUGUGUAGAUCACGUUGGUAUAUUCAAACACCCCAUUUAAGCAUUGUAUGAGAAGUUAUUAGUUAGUAUUGGUUAGGUGCUUAAAAUUAACGUUUAUUCAGUUAAUUCGCAUAUAGGUGAGACUUAUCCCGAGGACAAGUGCAGUCAAUGGCGACUUGGGAGCUACGACCCUUCGACAUACCAGUGAGUGGGCUUUUGGUUUUCAGUAUAUAUUUAUAUACAUGGUAUUUUCCCAGAAAAUACGUUUAAAUGAAAGUAUGCCUUGAAUGCCAUGCAUAUAAAUUUAUAUUUUGUAUAUGAAUUGAAUUGUUUGCAUAUACAUAAUUGUGGUGUUGUGGACGCUCAGGUAAGUAUCAGAUGAGUUAUGUUUUGUUAUGAGAAUUAAUGAUUAAUGGCAUGUGAUUGAAUAACGUUGAGCUCAUGUAACUGCACCUAGGGUGAUGUGAUUUAGCCAGAUAUAUAGCACAGGCCUGUUAUUGAUGUCACCUCCUGCACCAUAUGCUCACAUUGGAUCCAAUUUAGGUGCACAGCCUUGUCGUAUAGACCAUAAUAAGUGGUUCCGACUCGUAGGUGACUAGCGAAUUAUUGCCCAGCUAUCAUGAGAGAGUAGAAUUGAGCAUAAUUAUAUUACACCCAAUCUUGUCGUACAGACCCCUUUUUAGUGGUUCCGACUUAUGUGCAGUGUAGUGCCGUAUAGGUCAUUGUAGUAACUCCGACUAGAUUGACUAUUGAGCUAAGAAUUCAACCGUACAGACUACCAUAGGGGUUCCGGCUAAUAUGUUAUAUUUUCCAUGAAUUUAUUCUCACCUGAAUUACUUAUUUUGUUAUAUCUUGGCAUGGCAUACUUAUGAUUAUGAAUAUGUGAAGCAUGAUUUGAAUUGAUAUAUUUAUAUAUAUAUAUAUAUAUAUAUAUAUAUAUAUAUUUACGCAUAUACUUAUAUUCUAAUUCUGGGAAAAUUAUACAUGUUUUACGACAAGGGAUUAGAACUGUUGAGAAAUGAAAUGGUUUUGUAAAACAUUUGUUUUUGCCCACUCACGUUUUUUUGUUUUGCGCCGCUCCAGGUUUUAGGUAAGCUUGCUGUUGGUGGCUUUGAGGACUUCGGCGGUUCUGACAUAUAAAAAAAAUAGUAGGACAUUCCUAGUACUAUAUAACUAUUACUUGUCCUACUGGACUGCACCUAGACUUAUUAUGCUCUGAUUAGGAGUAUUUACAUUUGUAUCUUACUCCCAGCACUUCCUGUUUAUUAGUGCACAUUAGUAGCUUUCGGUUUUUAUUUAUUCGUAUAAUUCUUAUCUUUAUGGCUUCCGCACUGUGCACAUGGCUAUGUUACCCUCACAUGGAGGCCAGCAUGUCUUGAUCUCGGUCGGGGUGUGUCAGAUCAAGUGAUCCAAACCCUUGAAAUUUGAUCCAACGGCUAAAGUUAUUAUAACUUUUAAAAGUGGCCUCUGUUUUCAACUGUUAGAUCAAAUUUCAAGAGCCUAAAUCACUUGAUCCGCAGGCUUUGGUGAAAGAGAUCAUUAAUGAAAACAUUGUUACUCAUCACUCUCAAGUGAUAAUGAUACACAUCACUUUAUUUAUCACCAUUUGAUAGGUUUAAAUUUUAAGAUUUGUAAAAUGAGUAGACAUAAAAUUCAAAAAUUAAAGUAAUUAAUGUAACGAGCAUUACCACCAAUGUAUUUUGAUGAUCCCUACUUUAUUGACCACUACUUAUGUAUUUGUUUAUUGCUUUCAUUGCUCCACCUGAUGAUUUUCGUGAAUCUUUAUUUUAUAAAAACAAUAUUAUUUCUGAUGCCAAUAUUUCUACUUCAGCAGCUAUAGGUUUGCACUUUUAUCGUAUAUGAAAAACGGCUUCAGUGAUGAGAAAAAUGCACCCAUAAUCAAUCGGUGGGUCGCCUAUCUACCGACAAACAAUUUAAAGAUCAAGAUUAAUAGCAGCAGUGGUACCAAGCUUUCAGAAGUUCAGAUUUCUUAUUUCUAGCAAACAAGAAUGGAGAAAAUCACAAAUUUAUAGCUGCUGCAGACUGCAAUCUGUUGAGGGCAUGACUUCAUCUUCCCCUAGCUGAUUCACAGAACAAAGCAACUCCAGUUACUAGUAUUUCAAUCAGGCACUAACUCUUCAUUUAGGUCAGUUUUUCUAUGCUCUUUGAUUAUUUCUGAUAAGUUUCAACCCAAAAUAUUUUGAUAUAUGUUCUGGCAAUUCAAUUUCGAUGCACUGUUAACAAUAGUUGUCUCUUUUUUUCUGGUUGAAAACAUCUAAUUCAUCAAUAUAAUACAUGGAUAUAUAAAAGUGUUGUGGUUAGGACUUACUACCAAUAGUUUUUCUUAGACCAAUUUGCGCAAAAGAAUAUUUGAAUGUGACUAUCACUUUGUCACAUUAUUCGAAUUAUUAACAUAUGUUUUAUAAUAUGAGUGGACGAUAUAGUUGAUAUUUUUUGCCGAUUAUGAAACUCAAUGACAAAGCUACAUAGGCACAAGGAGGUGCGGCCACCCCUCCGGUCAUUGGGAAUUGUUAUUGAGAGUGAGGGUUCCGUCCCUUCGAUCUUCUAAACCUGCCAAAAUCUAGGGUUGGUGCACUGCGCUACUGGAUUUUAAUUUUGGGUAAUACUAUGGAAACUUUAUUUGUAAACAAAAUGACAUUGAAGUUGAUGAUUGAAUUAUUACUUAAGUGUUAAUUAACGUGCUUAACUUUAUUGAUGACAUCUCAUUUAGCUUGUAAAUUUAGUCUUUAAAUUUAGUGUACUUAACGUUACUCUUUAAAUUUCUCGAAGGAUGAAGACGACAUGAUUUUGUUCAAAACUGACCUCGUAGUUUACUUUGUUUACGCUAUUGGUUACAAAACUCAUGGAAUUUUUAAUGGAACAGAAUGGUUUGGUGGGCUCCCCUAGUUUCUCUUUAAUUUUUUUUUUUAUUUUAUUACCGUGGGCUUUUUUUCCAACUGCACCAUGAUUUAGUUGAUUAAACAUUAUUUCUCAAAAAACCAGCCCACCAUUUCAAUUAUCUUCCUUCUCUCUCAUUUCUUUAAGACUAAAGAAAAACCAAAGGUUGAUCUUUGUUAUUGUUCUUUUUUAAGAACAAAGUUUGGCUGUUUAAGAAAAAGCAAGAGCUCCAGCCCUCACCUAAUAACGACUUGACAAUUGUCCUAAAAAUGUUAUAAAAAAAAAGCUUGAACAAACAACUUGGACACUUUUCAAGUUGUUAUUGAGUGAGAGUAGCCAAGAUUUGUUCCUUUUUUAUUCUUGUUAUUAUUUCUAGAGUUUAAAAUUAUUUUUUCUUAUUUUCUUUUAAUCUUGAGAGAUGUUGACUUUGAGAAUUUAUUUCAUGAUAUACAAAAGUUUUGUCAAGAAAAUGAUGUAAAUGACUUUAAGACCGUUUUCUGCUAAGAGUAUUGUCAAAACAUCAUUGCGUAACAAAAUACGAGAUAAUGAUUGAGUGAUAGCUUUGUUUACAUUUUUUGCUUUUACUGAUAAUAAGCCUAUUAUGCGACGUUUUUAUGACAUGAAACAUCACCGUCAACAAUUACAAUUUGUUUGUAUUGAUGAAUUAUGAACAACAUCAAUAUUGUCUAGUAUCUAAAAGGAUUUGAUUGUGUACAUUUUUUUGAAACCUUAUACACUUUUAAAUUUCGCCCAACCCCCGACAAUUCCUGAUUUCGCAUGACACUUCACUUUCUUGACUAGUAGGCUGUGUUAUAUGAUUUUUUAUCUGUAUUUCGAAGAGGAUGAAACAUUCGUGAAGUCAGUCAUCAUGAUCGACUACUUUGAUACCAUCUCAAAAAUAAUGGGUUUGUGGUCAAUUUUCUGUAUAUUCCUUUGUCUCUCUUAGGAGCUCUUUAUGUUACAAUCUAUACAACUAAUAUCUAAAGAUUAUAAUUUCUGCGGCUAGUAUUAACUACAUUUUCCCACUUGACAAUAUUUAUAAGUAGUAACUAAUGUUGACAAUAUCCAUGUUGGCAGAUAGCAACUAUUGUUGAUAUCAGCUGCCCUUUUUGACAAAAGCAGCACCCAGAAUCAAUCAGUGGAUCACGCUUAUCAACUGACGAACAAUUUAAAGAUCAAGAUUAAUAGCAGCAGUGGUACCAAGCUUUCAGAAAUUCAGAUUUUUUAUUUCUAGCAAACAAGAACGGAGAAAAUCACAAAUUUAUAGCUGCUGCAGACUGCAAAAUGUUGAAGGCAUGAUUUCCCCUUCCCCCAGCUGAGUAUUUCAAUCAGGCACUAACUCAUCAUUUAGGUCAGUUUUUCUAUGCUCUUUGAUUAUUUCUGAUAAGUUUCAACCAAAACAAUUUUGAUAUAUGUUCGGGCAAUUGAAUUUCGGUGCAUUGUUGACAAUUGUUUCUCUUUAAUAUAAUACAUGAAUAUAUAAAAGUGUUGUGGUUAGGACUACUAACACUAGUUUUUCUUAGAACAUUUUGCACAUUGAAUAUUUGAAUGUGACUAUCACAUCGUCACGUUGUUCAUAUUAACUAACAUACCAUAUUAAUCGUUUAUAAUACGAGUAGACGAUGUUGUUCAUAUUAACUAACAUACCAUAUUAAUCGUUUAUAAUACGAGUAGACGACAUGAUUGAUAUUUCAUGAUCUCUGUCGGCUAUGACACUUCACCUUCUUGACUAGUUCUGCCGAUGCAGGAAAUAAGCAUGUAAGUCUUAGUUGCUUCUCGACUAGAAAUCUUUUCUCCACAAUCCAAUUGAAACAAAAUGCACAUUCAUAUUCAACCAAAUCACUAUAAUCAUUUUUUGCAUCGUAGAAUAACCCUACAAUUAGUCUAAUCCUUGCGAAAUUUUCGAAAGCAAUUAGAACUGGAAAAUGAGAUCUAAAUUUUCUGUCUCACGAGUUUUCCUAACAUCGUAUAGGACGUGAAUGCUAGUCUGUCUAUGUUGAAUUCCUCUCCAUGACUCUGUCCUAAUCAUGUAUACAAACUUGGUUGCUGUUUUUUUAUCUGUAUUUCGAACAGGAUGACGCAUUCGUCUAUGCACGAUGGGAAGCAGAUUUUGUCUAAAUUCCUAUAUGGGUUCAUUCUUUUAUACAUGAGCACAGGUCUGGAAUCUGCAGCAUUGUCAAACAGUACUUUUGGAAAUGAAUCCGACAGACUGGCACUGCUAGACUUCAAGAAAAGAAUCACCGAAGAUCCCCAACAUAUCAUGAGCUCAUGGAAUGAUUCCACCCAUUUCUGUGGCUGGAGAGGUGUUACAUGCAACAAUUCCAACAAAAGAGUCCUGACAUUGAAGUUGAAUUCUCAAAAUUUGGUAGGCUCCUUAACCCCUUCUAUUGGAAACCUCACUUAUCUUACUGGGAUUAACCUUACGAGCAACGGCUUCCAUGGUGAAAUUCCUCAAGAAAUCGGUCGAUUAAGAAGCUUGGAAUAUCUCAACCUGUCUUACAAUUCCUUCGGCGGAAAAAUUCCAACCAAUAUGUCUUCUUGUACCCAACUAAAAGUGCUCAGUAUUUAUUCCAACAAGCUUACCGGGUCGAUUCCUGACCAACUCAGCUCGUUGUUGAACUUAAAUCAUCUAUGGGUUGAUGAGAACAAUCUCACCGGAACCAUCCCUUAUUGGGUAGGAAACUUCUCUUAUUUGAAAACUGUUUAUCUUGGCAGCAACAAUUUACAAGGAAUCAUACCUAAGGAAUUUAGGCGUCUAACAAGCUUGGAGAGAUUCUCACUUCAGGGGAAUAAUUUAUCUGGUCUGGUCCCUUCUUCAAUCUAUAAUAUUUCUUCCAUAUACCUUUUCGAUGUUACUGAGAACCAGCUGCAAGGAGAGAUACCACCAAAUGUCGGCAAUACUCUUCCUAAUCUCAUAGGGUUUUUCGCUGGGGCCAACAAGUUCACAGGGCGUGUUCCUGUCUCAUUUGGAAAUGCUUCUAGACUUGAGAGGCUUGAUGUGUUCAGAAAUUCUCUCACUGGGGCACUCCACGGUGAAAAUCUUGGAAGCUUACGGAGCUUAGUUUGGCUAAACUUUGAAGAAAAUAGACUAGGAAGUGGAAAACCCGGUGACUUGACUUUUCUUACUUUCUUGGCUAAUUGUACUCGUUUGGAGACUUUAGGACUUUAUGGUAAUCGUUUUGGAGGAGAACUGCCAGGAUCUAUAGCCAAUCUGUCAACCCAACUAAUUAGUCUUACUCUGGGGGGUAAUAUGAUACAUGGAGUCAUCCCUGAGGGUAUUGGAUAUCUUGUAAACUUGACAGUCCUAGUACUAGAACAUAACAAUUUUGGUGGUACUGUCCCUAAUACAAUUGGGAAGCUUCAGAAAUUAGUGGAGUUGUAUCUGAAUAGUAACAAACUUUCUGGGCCAAUUCCUUCCUCCCUGGGUAACUUGUCUGCAUUGACAAACCUCUACUUGGACUGGAAUAUGUUCGAGGGAAGCAUCCCUCCAAGUCUUGCCAACUGCCAAUUUCUACUGAUACUUUACCUUUCUCAUAACAAUCUAUCUGGUUCCAUACCUAAACAGCUGCUUGCGCUUUCAUCCCUUUCCAUGUCUUUGAACAUGUCUCACAAUUCUUUGACUGGUUCACUACCAUCCGAAGUGGGUGAUUUGGUAAAUCUCGCAGAGCUAGAUGUAUCAGAAAACAAGUUAUCAGGUGAAAUCCCACAAACUCUAGGUAGUUGUAUAAUGUUGGUGCGCCUGCAUUUAGAAGGUAACAAAUUUGAGGGAAUAAUUCCUCAAUCUCUUAAAAAUUUAAGAAGCUUGGAAGAGAUAGAUGUUUCGGGCAAUAACUUAUCUGGGCAGCUUCCUGAAUUUCUAGGCAAGUUUACACUACUUGAGAAACUUAAUCUUUCUCAUAAUAAUUUUGAGGGUGAAUUACCUAAAGAAGGGAUAUUUUUUAACGCAAGUGGCGUGUCAGUUCUUGGAAAUGAUAGGCUCUGUGGUGGCAUCCCACAAUUGCAUCUGCCUGCAUGCUCCCACAAAAAGCCCCAUUCAACUCGAGGACUACUUGCCCUGAAAGUAGUCAUCCCUAUAGCUUCUUCUCUUGCACUCAUAAUUGCUCUAUCAUGCUUUAUUGCUGCUUGUUCAAUGGUGAAAAGGUCAAGACGCAAACCUGUGACUUUACGUUCUUAUGAGGACUGGAAAUCAGGUCUCUCGUACUCUGAACUCUUUGAAUCAACUAAUGGUUUCUCUAUAGACAAUCUGAUUGGUUCGGGAAGUUUUGGUUCUGUUUACAAAGGAGUACUAUCAAGUGAUGUAGCAAUAGUUGCCGUUAAGGUAUUGAACCUUCAACAACCAGGAGCUUCCAAGAGUUUUAUUGAUGAAUGCAAAACUUUGAAAAGUAUAAGGCACCGUAAUCUCCUCAAGAUCAUAACUGCAUGCUCAAGCAUUGACAAUCAAGGUAAUGACUUCAAAAGUCUAGUUUUUGAGUUCAUGGAAAAUGGAAGUCUAGAUCCGUGGAUUCAUCCCAAAGGUGAUGAGCAAUCUCAAACAAAGAGAAAAUUGAGCCUUACCGAAAGACUAGAUAUUGCAAUUGAUGUUGCUUCUGCAUUAGAUUAUCUACACUACCAAUGUGAAACGCCUAUUGUUCACUGUGAUCUAAAGCCAAGCAAUGUGCUUCUUGAUGAAGACAUGGUAGCCCAUGUUGGUGACUUUGGAUUAGCAAGGUUCCUUUUGGAAGCUUCAAAUUCGAACAAUCUUGCCGCAAGUCAAACAAUGUCAGCAGGUCUAAAGGGUUCCAUAGGCUACAUUCCUCCAGGUAUGAGUUUCUAUCAUUUUCUUUAUUGAGCCAACUCUGAAACAAGAACUAAAUCCAAAAGGUCAUUUGACCAUGGCAUUCUUUUGUGUAUUCAUUGGCAGAGUAUGGCAUGGCAGGCCAAGUUUCUAUACUUGGAGAUACUUAUAGCUACGGGAUACUGCUACUAGAAAUGUUCACAGGAAAAAGCCCUACUGAUGAUGUGUUUAUAGAUGGUCAAAGCAUUCACCGUUUCACAGCCAUGGCGUUGCCAGACCAUGUCAUGGACGUUGUUGACCGUUCAUUGCUCCUUGAAAUAUAUGAUCCGGAUGCUGAUGAUGAAGAAUACAACAAUGAAAUACAAGAAGGACCAAUUACAAAAUAUCAAGAUCGGAGCUCAGCCCAAGCGAAAAGAUUAGAGGAGUGCUUGGUUUCUGUGAUGGAAAUAGGGCUCGCAUGCUCUUCAAUAUCGCCCGCAGAGCGGAUGCCAAUGAAUGUUGUUGUUAACAAACUGAAGUCAAUUAGAGAAUCAUACCUCAAUCGAAGACGAACACGCUACUGAUGCUCAAGCAAGUAUGUUGCCUAAUUUAAACAUGUAUCCCCAUAUAUCAGCAAGCUAGUAUUCCACCGUUCGUUAUACGUCAGCUCUAAUUUUCUUUCGAUAUGUCUUUUAAUUUAAAACCAAUCUGCUUCGCAUUAGAAGGCAUUGCUCUCGUGUGUUUUUUUGUUUCUUCUCUUGCUUUGUACAUUACACGUUUAUAUAUUCAGUUCAAGCAGACGAUGUGAGCUUCUGAAUUUUUAUGUCUAUCUUUUGUAAACAUAUUCGUUAGUUGGUCCCAAGCUCGAUCUUCCUUCGCCACUGAAUAUAUCGCUUGUUAACUUUCUGUAAACCUCAAAAUCAGUUACAACUUUCCAUUCAAAAUUGCUUCUUUCGGUAUUGAAUUCCCGAAUAUUUGAGACAUUUGGAUUAUGAUGGUAGAGUCUAGCCCAUACUAUUUAUUCAAGAUUUAGAAAUUUAGAGUCUGUUUGGUAUUCUACUUGAAUCCAACUUUUAAACUCAAAAAUAAUUUUCAAGUUUUAUGCCUUAAAAACUUGUUUGGUAGGACUAUUUUCAAAAACUGAACUCAAGACUAACUUAAAAAUAUAGUCUAUUAUCUAAAAACAUAAAAAGUGAGUUUUUAGAGUUUUUAAACUUAAACUCACUCAUUUCUUUUCUCUCUCUUCUCCCCUCUCACUCCAAAUCUAUCUCUCUUUUCUUCUUCUCUUUAUUUUUUUUACACAUUUUUCGUCUCUCAUCCAAUCUGCUCUCUUCAUUCUCUCGGUUCUUUCUCUCACUUAUCUUCCUCUCUAUCUCGUCUGAUCCUCUCUCUUCUUUCUCUUUCCUUCAAUUAUCCCUUCCUUUCUUUCCUCCUCUUCUUAGACCUUUUUGUCUAGUUUAAGUCAUAAGAUUUAAAAAAUUUAAAUCGCAAACCAAUCAAAUUUUUAAGUCUUAAAAAAAGUUGUUUUCAAGAAAUGUUCUUAAGAAAUGUUUUGAGAAAUGAUAAAAAAUUUCAAAUAGAAUACCAAACAGGCCCUUAGUCACUCGAAGCCCCUCGAGCGUGAAACCCUGUCUAGAACUCCAAAGAAAUGCGCAAAUUCUUUAUUACUAUGCUUAUUUCAUUUCUUGCACGCACCCUUGUUUUCUCCUUCAAUAAAGUUCUCUGUAACUUACGUCACAUUCAUUUCAUGUUUUGAUACGACCUAGUAUCUACUAAUGGGAACGAUUAUAUGACAGAUUGUCUAACAAAGAUACUUAUGCUAUGUUUAAUCAUAUUUAUUCUUGCACGCACCCUCUUUGGAUAUGCGUUUUUUAGGCAUGUAGUAGUUUUGAUAUAUAUUUUUCUAAAAUUGUCAAAAAUAACUCAUAGAGUUACGAAUUCUCACAUCAUUGACCUUCCACCGCCAAGUUAUACUUUAUUAUUUGGGUGUAGUAUUGAAAUUUCUCAUCUUUUGCACCAAUGGACGUCGUACUAUGUUGAAUAAUAAAUCUCAUUUGAUUGAUGAUAGUUAAUUUUUUGUGUUAGAUGGAUGGAGGGGUCAUCGGUGUAAUAGCCUAUAACUUUAAAAAAAUAUUUUUGGUUUGUCAAAAAAAAAAAUCUUAAAAGGAUGUCACGUGCUAUACAUACGUUGGAAGUUAAAUUGUAGAGAAAAUAAAAAGAUAUUGACUGAGAGGAUUGAUUGAAAUUUCUGAAAAAGACAAAGUGGGAACCAAUCAACCCCUCACUCGACAUAUUUCAUAUUUUUCUUUUUAGGUCAUAUCAAAACCUUACACUUAAAAAUAAAGAAAACCAAAGUUUAAUUGAACCCUUUUCUUAUUUCCUUUGCUGGAGGGGGUUGAUUUGGGCAUACCAUUUUCUCCGUAACAAACACGUGCUAGCAAGCUAGUAGUGGGCUUUAUCAAGAUUUCAUAUCUAAUGGGUUUUGUGUAUUAUAGGCCCAAAAGGCUCUUCUAGCCAUCUAAAGUAGGUUUUUAAGCCAAAAUUCUCCCUGAGAUUUACAUAAUUCCUCAUUUUCGUUCUUGAGAUUUGAAAUCAAUAGAAUUGGUCUCUGAGUUUGUCCAUCAUCAAUCAUAUUGGUCCUUCAUUGAAAAAUCUUCAUUAAAUAAGAAUGGAAUGAUCGAAAUACUCUUAAUUUUUAUCAAAUCAUUUUGGCAUUGUUUAUUAAAUUGAGGGUAUAUUUGUUAUUUUGAUCCUUAUUUAAUAUAAUUUUGCACGAAAUAACCAAAAUGAUUGAUGGUGAACAAUCUCAUGAACCACUUAUAUUGAUUUCAAAUCUCAGGGGCCAAACGUAUUAUGUCAAUCUCAUAGAUCAUUUUGGCUAAAAAGCCAAAGAAAAUUAUAGGCACUUUCUCACGAAGUUUUCUUUAGUGUACAUCAAAAGUGCAAAUUUAUGUUGCACAUGUGAGCAACUAAAUUGUUUGAUCUAAUUAAAUUUAACGACUCUUAUUUAUAUAUAUAAUUUAGAUGCGCACUUUUCAUGUGCGAGAAAAUUCAACUUUCUGGCUUGAUUGAGUAAUUGACUGGGGAAAGUUGCCUUAACUGGAGGCAAAGAAUGCAAGUGAACGUGUCUAAAAUCCGAUCCAAAAGUCAUUCAGUACUACGGUCUGGUGGUAUUUCUCUUCACUUGGAAGUGAGAGGUCUUAAGUUUGAAUCUCGUGGAUGGCGAACUCGAUACCAAAUUAGGCUACCUAUUGUGUGACUUAACCGAAUUCUUCAUCUCCUUAGUAUAAAAAUAUUGACGUACUAAAAAAGUAAAAAAAAUUCCGACCCAAAAAUCAAAUAAUAUUUUCAGCCAACCCAACCCAACCCAAGACCAGGUCCAGCUAACUAGUAUUUUCAUUUUCCUCGGGUCGAUGACAACCCGGUAGCCCAGGCGGAAACCAAGGCCUAUGGCCCAUUUACCAUGAAAUUUUGCAAAGUUUUUAACAUUUAUAAAUUACCAAUAAAUGACCAUCAGCUGGGUCACGGACUCACGUGACACAAUAACUGUCCAAAGAGUAACUCCACUACAACUAUUUUUAAAUAAAUAAAUUUCCAAAAUUUUAUGUGAUCAAGUGAAGACUUGUAGACUUCACUUGUACCCAUGAGGGGUAAGCGAUGAGUUUUGGGGUUUUCUUCUUUAUCAAGGACAUUUAAAUAUUGCGAGGCCGAGAUAUCUCAAAAAUAUUAAAUAAUAAUAACUGUUUAUGAGAAGAUGGAGGGUACUCAAAAUAGACUGAACUAGAAGGACGAGAGAGGCUCAUGUUGGCCAAGUCAAUAGCAACAAAAUCCAUCUCACAAUAAGUACACGCCUAAUAUUAUAUGGUAAAUUACAUAAAAUUACCUCAACUAUUGGGUCACAAUUUCAUCCCCCUUCUUUAAAAAAUUUCAAUGUCAUACCUUAUCUUCGAAUUUGUUGCAAUGUCAUAUCUUCCGUCAGUUGUCUAUCAAUUCCUCUGUUAAAUGCUGACGUGGUUUGAGGCGGGGCUCAAUUUCUAUUAAAAAAUAAUAAUUUACCCUUAAAAAAAAACAAAAAAAACCAAACACCCAUCUUCCCUGACCCCUUCCCUUUCCCUGCAACCCAAAUGCAAAACCCAUAUCCCUUCCCCUUCCCUUUCCCUGCAAUCCCCGACCUCUUCCCCACACCCACAUCAACAUUUCCCCCCCCCCAGACCCACCUCCUAUUUCUCUGCCGCCCACCCCUCUCCCCAAAAUGGACCGACCCAGAUUCGUAAUCGAAGCCUCCCAUGCCGAAUCAAUGGCCAAGCAGUCCAACCUCACCGUCUUCCAGCUUUUCCCCUCUUUCGUCAAGUCCGCCCAGGCCCUCACUCGCCCCCCAUCUCCAAAUUCCACGUAGAAGCCUUCGGGUAUGAUUCAUCAGGUCGGAUCUUCCUCGGCAUCAACCUCGAGUUCUCGAGUCUCCCCCUCCACUACUCGGUCCACGUCGAGCAGUUCCUCGUCACCAACCUCUCAAUCCAAUUGAAAGAGGUGGGUCUGGGGGGGAGACGUUGGCGUGGGUAGGGAAGGGGUCGGGGGUUGCAGGGAAGGGGAAGGGGAAGAGGAAGGGAUCUGGGUUUUGGAUUUGGGUUGCAGGGAAAGGGAAGGGGUCGGGGAAGAUGGGUGUUUGGGUUUUUUUUUUUAAAGGGUAAAUUAUUAUUUUUUUAUUAUUUUAUUAUUUUAUUAAUAGAAAGUAGGCCCCGCCUCAAGCCACGUCAACAUUUAACAGAGAAAUUGACAGAAAAUUGUCGGAAGAUAUGACAUUACAACAAAUUCAAAGAUAAGGUAUGACAUUUAAAUUUUUAAAGAAGGGGUAUGAAACUGUGACUGACUUAAUAAUUUGGGUAAUUUUAUGUAAUUGACCCAAUAUUACCUGUGACGUUAUUUUGUAAUUUUCCUUUUGUCGGGUUAUUAUCCCAUUUACUUAUAAAAAAAAUAUUGAUCGAUGGUAAGUCUUGUAUUUGUUAAGUAAAAGUUAUCAUUUAUCCAUGUUAUUAUUCUAACAAGUUACUUUUUAUAGAUCGAGAGACGUAAUCUGAGCUUAGGAUCUUUCUCAAUAUCAUAAAAAGAAGUACCACUAAAAUAAGAGCUACUUGAUGUUUUAACAACCUUCAACAUCGAAAGAGAGAAUCGAACUUGCUAUCAAAGUUAAGCAAUAUGGAUCUAGAUUUGCUACUUAGCAUAGCUUAGAGGGUGUUGGAUAGAGGAAUUAGCUUCUCACGACUAAUUACAUAAUACUAGCGCCAACUUGCAUUUACCUAUAUAUAAGAUAGCAAGUGUAGAGUUUUAUCACAAACUGUCUCGGUACAAUGCACAAUAUAAUAAAGAUCUUCAUCAACAGGGCGACAAGACCAUUGGCACAUUACGGUUUCUUUCAACUAUCAAGUAAUACCUCCCAAUCACUGUCAAAUUUUGCAACCAAGGCUUAUCAUGUCUUUCUAUCAACCAGCAAGUAACUGAAAAAUCCACAAUUUUUGUCAUAUGAAAGUUGGAUUAAUGCAAUGAGUCGAACGACGUACUAAUCUCUCAAUGGUAAAAUAUUCAAUCCAACACUUGAUAGGCAUUAGACAUUUUCCUUUUUUGUUACAACAAUCAGACAGAGUCGACUGUGAUCUACUCUACCUUUGAUUCAUCAGCCACAAAUAUUCACAAGGCUCCUCUAAAGAAUGCAAACCUAAUGACGUGUUUAUGAAACCGGAAUGGAAUAGGAAGAAACUGAAUUGCACUUUUUGAAGCAUUCAUGCGCUUACCAACAUUUUAGUAACAAAUAAAAAAAGGUGGGAUCCACUCAAAAUCAAGAAUUGAAUUCCUAAAUCUCUUAGAAUUCGAUCGCCUUCAAGGAGGUGGUAUCCGGAUUCCAAAGAGAAGCCUCUUUUAGGAAUCCAAAUUUUCUACCUGAACUAUCCCUGCAACUUCUACCUUUCAGUCGAGUCAGCCGACUCCCUUGAACAUUCACCAGCUCAAUCUCAUCCAUCAUCGAUGGGUUUCAAAGCUGAAGUUUGUGAAGCAUAGGUUGUUGUUAGCAAAAAUUAGAUUUAGAACUUGUUUGGUGCACAUCUAGCGAAGACCAGAUAUAAAACUCGUUCAAUGUGCAUCCAGCAUUCCAAAUUCAACCAAAAUGUUUAAAUUAUUAGUAAUGAUAGAUGAGUGAAAGUUACUAGUUACUGGUUCAGCUUAAACCUAUUUAGGCACACCAACGUAACGUUUGCCACUUUUUUAGUGCUUACCAUUUGACACUAAAACAAUUUAAGGGUUGAGAUUGUCCGAUCUGAAAAAGCAGUCAUCACGGAGUAUAUGAUGCUCAAACAGUUAAAAAACAGUUGGUUGGGGUUGCAAAGCAAGAUUCGAUUCAAUUCAACCCAAAUUACCGAUGACGUGUCCCCAAGCUACACGUGGCAACAGAUCCGAUCCUUUAUCUCCCUACGGGGACCACACCGCUAUAUAUACCACUAGAACUGGAGUGCUCAUUAGAUAAAAAGUGACAGAGACCCCCACUAGCAAACAAUCCAAUACUCUCUCUCUCUCUGGAAAUCCAGAAAGCAACAAACUUUGAAGGCAACUCGGGAGGGUUGAUUCAGUGAGUCAGUGACCGAGUCAUGAGGACCCUGUCGAGUCCGAGUUCGAGGGUGGCGGCAGAGAAGAAGUGGGUCGGCGGAGAAAAUGUCUUUCUCCACAAGCUUGAACCUUGCUUCCUCAGGCCAAAGAGAAGCAGCGAGAAUUUCCGGUUCUUGAAUUUGGUGUGUUUUCUGAAACAGAGCAAGCCCAUCAGACCAGUCAUUUGCCUCUCGUCAAAAACCCAGGUGGAAUCUUUUUUUCGAUUUUCUGAAAACUUUUCGUAAUUGUUAUUUCAUUUCUUUGUUUUUUGAAAUUUUGAUGAAAUUCCCAUUUUUGUUUUCUCUGUUUUAAAAAUUUCUAGAAUAUGAUGUUGUUCUUGCUUUUUUGUGAUCAUUCUUUUCUUUGGGUUGCCAAGAAAGUUUGGAAUCGUGCUUUUUUGGGUUGGGAAAGUUUGGAAUCUUGCUUUUUUGGGCUGGGGCUAGAUUCUUAUUUUUUGUUUUUGUUUUUUGUAUGUUUAUUUAUUAUGGAGUAGAUUAUUAAUUGGCAGCUUUAUGAUGCAUUGAUUAUAUAAUCAUUUUAUUUUUUUAAUUUAUUUUUAAUCUUGUUCUUGAAGCAUUUUGUAUCAGAGAAUCAAUCAUGCAGUGUAAUCGGAUGUACAAUAUAUACAUAUACAUAUAUAUAGGUAUCUAUGUAUAUGUAUAUUAUAAUGUAUAUGUGAAUAUAUAUGUGUAUGUAUAUAUAUUAUAUAUACACAAAGCAAAAUGAUUGUCUAAGAUUUAUGAUCAGUCUAAUAAUUUGUUUUCAUUCUUUGGGAAUGUUGCCAUUUAAAAUAUUUCUUUGAAGAAAUUGUUUCCAUAUCAGAGAGUGUGAAUGGUGAUUAAGUAAUUAGAGAAUACCUUGCACUGAGAUAAUCAAUCUGAUUUCUGAGCACUCUCUUUGCAGACAGAAUUGGAGGUUGCAGAUUCUCAAAUGCAGGAAGCAUGUAAGUUCUUGCCUUUUCUUUUAAAAUAAUAUAUAUAUAUAUAUAUAUAUAUGUGUGUGUGUGUGUGUGUGUGUGUGUAUUUAUGUAUGUAUAUAUGAGCAUAUUAAUCUUACUGACAAUGCCAUGUUGUGCAGAUCAUACAAAAACUAUCCAUGUGAAAUUCCAGUUGCAGAAAGAGUGCUCGUUCGGUCAGGAGUUCCUCAUUGUGGGGGAUGAUCCUAUGUUCGGUUUGUGGGAUCCUGCAAGCGCAAUACCGAUGAACUGGUCAGAUGGGAAUGUGUGGACUGUUGAGAUGGUGAGUGAAAUCUACUAACAAGUGCAAUUUUUUUGUUAGGUGAAUACCGGAUUUGUAGUUUAAUGUAAGUCUUUGUGUUUGAUUAGGAUAUACCAGUUGGGAAAUCGAUUCAGUUCAAGUUCAUACUAAAAGAAAGCACAGGGAAUAUCUCGUGGCAGCCUGGCCCUGAUCGGAUUUUCCAGACCUGGGAAACUAAGAAUGCGAUCACUGUUUGUGAAGACUGGGCAGAUGCUGAGCUUCAGAAAAUAAUAGAGGAAGAUCAUGUUUCAGAUGAAGGCGAUGGUUCCAAUGUUAAUGCAGAUAUGUUGAUUGUGGAUGAGAACCUGACACAGCCGAAUGAUGAACUGGCCUUCAAUAUAACCAAUGAACCUACGAUCACCAGUAGUAACACUGAUCCGGCAGAGAAGCCAUUAGUGGAACCAUGGAAGGAACAAAUUGGUGCCAGAAAUGGUUCUCCUUCACAAGAGAAUGUGACCCCUAAAUGGCCAAAUGCAUACGUGGAACCAUAUGAGGAACAAUUUGCUGCAAGAGCUGCAGUGCUUAAUGAAGAGAGAGUUAUUUUUCCGAGUGAGGAUUGUGCAGCCAUCUCAAGUAAGGAGUUGUUGGUGGCAGACAACAUUUUCGGAAAUAAUGGUGGAGCUGCAACAGUUGAACCUUUCAAGCACUCAAAUCGGGGGAAGUCUAAUUAACUACGAAGAAGGUCCUGUUCUGGUACCUGGGCUGACUCCUUCACCAGCUGUUCCAACUGAAGAAGUGAACAAAGAGGGCAUCGACAAACAGAUGUCUUUUGAUGGUUCGGUUGGAGCCUUUGAAGCUAAGGAUCGUAAUAUGCCAGAGGUAACUGCUUGAUGAGAGUGACGUAUCUUUUAUCUUUUUCUGUUUCUUCUUGUACUGCAUUUACCUCAUCCCUGAAAUAACAAUCCAUUCCUUUUCCGUAAAACUGCAAGUUGUCCAGGGCUAUAGGAGAGAUUCUUUACUACUAGCUAGUUUUUGGUUUCAUCUUGUAUGUUGUUGGAAUCUAUGUUUUCCUUGAAGAGAAGUUCAUGAUGAUGAUGUAUGGCAAGGCAAUUAUUUAAUUUCAUCGAAAUUGAGCAAUUGUCCAUAAAUUCUCAUGAAGAAAAGUUCAUGUUUUUAUCUUACAAUCAUUAACCAACAAAGUAGACCAUCUUCGCACAAUAUCAUUGCAGUGUAAUUAACGUUGUAAAUAUAAAUCCCGGGCCAAGUAUUCUCCUAUUGCAAAUCGAAACUGCGCUGUCUGAUUCAAAUUGAAACUAUUAACACUCUGGAAUAUGACACCGAAUUCUCUAUCAAGCAUUUCGUUUAUAUAUUUUGUUUCUGCUGGCAAUUCAUGAGCAUUUCCAUAUGGUCAACUAUUCAUAUGUAGAGGGACCCUAUUCCUAAAAACAUAUGAAAGAGUUCAUAUAAUCAUAAUUAUGAUCAAAGUUAGACUGCCGAUGCGUAAGGCGAUGUAUUGUUGCCGAACAGCAGUAUUUGAUAUAGAUGUUCUUCUCCCUUGAUUAUGCUAUUAUUGAUGUUCUCCUUUCUGUUAUCUUUUCAUGCCCUCAAACAAAUGGUUUCAGCUAGAAGUGAAGCAAGAACAGUACAGUGACCUACCUCAAGAAGUAACAAAUGUAAUGAUCAACGCUAAUGGGGGGAAUUUUGACGAUGAAAUCAAGCAAACGCCUCACCCUGCAAAUAAGGAAGAACAGUUCCACUCAGAGCCAGUCAAUGAUAAGGUCUUGUGCAGUGACCAACCUCAAGUGGAAACAGCUGCCGCAAUCAAUGAUAACGAAGAGAAUUCUGCUAAAAAGGAGGAACAGUCCGACUCAGAGCCAAUCAACGAGGUCUUUCAGAAUGAUGUGCAAUGGGGUCGUAAGAUGCUGCAGAACCUUCUGUCUAACUUCAGAUUGCUAUAGCAUGCACAUUGCCGAUAACCUGGGAAGAAAUUUAGGGAAUUCAUUUGAGCCCGUAACUCUCCUGCUUUGUUGCUGAUGUUUUCUGGUAGCCUACAAAGAGUAGAGAGAGGCAAUCUUAUAAGCAAACUGUUAUAUGUGCAUAUGAUAUGAACAUAGUUGCUGAGAGAGUAUUGCCACUUUCCUGUGCUGUAAGAGUACUCAGGUUUUUGUUUCUUUUAGUUUGUCAUGUAAAUAUUUGUACCGGAUACAAAGUUCUGUAAAGCUUCCUCACAAUGCUGAUUUUGGUAAGGAUUUGGUACCUUCUUAGAUUCGAAUAUCAUGAAUGGCAGAUUCAAUACCACAUUAAGUUGUCCAUUGUGUGAUUUAACCGAACUUUCCCCUCCAUUAGUGUAAAAAUAUCGACGUACUCCAAAAAAAAAAAAAAAAAAAAACCUCUUUUUCCAACCAUCAAUAUUCCUAAACUGUUAGUGAAUCAAUUUAAAUAAUUUCCAAAAAUUUAAAAUUAGAACUGAAAAUAAAAAAACCACCCCAACCAACUACUCACUCAACUCCAACACCACCCAACACCUUCUGCUUAUGACGGCCUUGACGUAUCAUUUUUCCCGUGUGGACUUUCUACGUAGGAUUGUAAAGGGUGAGUUUUCUGAAAUGGAUGGCUGAGCUCUUUUCUUUUCUUCUUAUUUUUUAUUUUAAUUUUUCAGUUGACAACUUCUUCCAAUUUGAAGAAAGCCAUGUGUUCUCUUUGCGUUUUUAAUUUUUCUUUUUCUUUUUCUUUUUCACCAUAUCCUAACAUAUUUUUGGGGCAAAUGACUCCCACUUUUCUUUUCUUUUUCUUCACCCCUCGUUCAUUUCUAACACCUGGAUUGGAUAAAUCAACAGAAAAUCGAAUAAUAGAAGUGAAACAUAUGGGGUGUGCGAAAAUCAUUUCCAGACUCAAAAAUAAGGUCGAUAUUUAAUUUACUUCUCCAGCGAUCAGGGACAGAGCUAGAGCUUCUUACAUACUCGGAAUCUGUUUGUAUCUAUACAGCCCGAUUACAAAGAUAAAAAGAUUUUAAAAGGAAGCAAACACAAUGCCAUUAUUUAUCGACUUUGACGGGAUAACAAAUUUGUUACACGUCUAGGGAACAAGAUGGGUCUCAAAUUUCAGUUUCCAUGCUCAAAAUCUUAUGAUCAACCACAUUUACGUAAAAUAUUUGGAGGAAGAAAAUGUGUGUUGUAUUCGAAUAUGGCAAUCCCCAACCUCAAGAUUCACGACGAUGUAUGCAAGCAAGAAAAGAUGGAGCAAGAUGAAAAGAAAUAUAGCCCACCUUUCCACCAACAAAACUUACACAUACGCCUCAAGAAAUAUAGCCCUGGCAAUAUUGAAACCAGCAUUCCGAAAGGGGAAAAGAUAUUCUGAAUGUACAAGAUGCCAGAGUCGUGCGCCUCAAAACGCCAAUCUUUUCAAUUUUACUUGUUCCCUUGUUUUCCAAAUCUUCAAGCUAGUGCUAAAAUUGGGAGGCUGGGAAGAGAUGGAGGCACUGAACCUCUUCGAGACCUCCGUUUCGUUUGUGAGGAGAGGAAGAAUGUGCUAGCAGGAGCCUUGAUUGAAACGACUUCGGUCUCAAAGUUUGUCUGUAACCCCAUUCUUCUGUUGCCGUGAAAAUGAUAAACUUCGUGAACCAUGCAGUAUUUCUUCCUUGGAUCGUUUUGCAACAGACUCUAUCAAUCUGCAAAAGGACGGUGGUAAUGAAAAAUUUUGGGGUACAAGGAUUUGUGAAAUAAGAGCAAUGAACUCAUAGAUCGUUUUAUUAUUCAACAAAGUUCCAUGAGAAUAUCGGGGCCUUUUAUUCUAGAUCCCAGGCAGUGUCUGACCAUCAUCUUGUCCUAUUCAUCAAUCUUACAGAUACACAAUUUGCGUAUAGGCUAGAAGUUUGCUUUGUUUGCCUUCUAGCUUACAGCAGCGGCAAGCGGGGAAAAAAAACAACCUCAUUGAAUGCUUCAUAAUGGACCAUGAAGACAUCCAAUAAACAAGCAGAAAGAAGCAGCCAAAAAUCAACAUUAACCAUAACUUGGCCGUACUCUGUCCAGCCAAGAACCCUUGAGGAUUCCAGAAUUAGCCCAGAAAAUAACAAAGGAACUCAGUUUCGGACAUGUCUCGACUCAAACAGGGUGAAAAGAAGCGUAAUGUUACCUUGGGGAACUGGCACGCUUUAGAACUUGCUGACUCACCGUAAAAGUACUCCCCGGUUCAACUUCAACAGCCUGUAUAUUUCGCAUUGAAAACACAGGAAUUUAAUCAGGAAAUUCAACAUAGUCAAAAAGUUUACACGCUAGAUUGAGGUCUCCUGUUUUCUAUUCCUCCAGAAAAGGAAGAAACUUUGGGUUCAGAAGCUUCCCUUUCACAGGAGGAAAAAGGAGAUGGUUUCCACAAUGCACAAGUUAGAUCCGGCACAAACAUUGGGAAGAAAAAUGAAUCUGUGAGAAGUUUAAAACGAGUCUAUGUGAAGUUUAACAUUCAACUAGAAGUGAUAAUGGUGAUGAGGAUGUCUAAAAACCUAUCGAUUGAGGUACGGAAUAAUUGUUCAUUCAAACCAAAAAGAGAAAAGAACAUAGCUAAAUCACGCACAUUGGAAUACUUGGAUAACGGGUAGAAAUGAGGGACUGACAACCAAGCCCAUACCUUUCAAAACAGGAAUUGAUGGAGCCAAUAAGGCAGCAGUAGCAGACAUUGAAGCCAGCUCAAUCCGCUUUCAGUGUUUUAGCCAUCACAUCUUUGUCAGAUGCAAAAUUCAAAAUGGGAGUGGUUCUCCUUUCAGUGUCUUGCCCACAUACCCUUUAUCCAAGCAUCACCUAUGUUUUUAAACAUUGAAAAUCAAAUCAACUAAUGAAAGCAUCAUCAAUUAUCCCCACCUCAGAAGUGCUUUCUGUAGGCAAUCCAUCCCUUAGUAGCUCAGCUGAUCCUGGACCAACCAUGUCCAAUAGAAAUCCGUUUUCGUUUCCUUUAUCUAAAUCUCUGUCCACGACACCAGUAUGAGGUGCAAGAUAUGCAGCAUAUUUAUCUGCCAUCCCACACACGAAAUAUAUUCAGCACAUGCGAACAAAUACAUCUCAAAAUAUUGCAAGGAAAAAAGAAACUUGUGGUUUUAAGAAUAACAUUACCAGCCAAGCUGUGAAGGGCAUUCUCAGCAGCCUGUUGUUGAGCAUCCUUCCUCGUCCUACCCGUUCCAAAACCUAUCUUCUCUCCAGUGAAAAGAACCUUUAAAACAAAGUUAACAAUUAGCACAUUAGAGUCCAAAACUGAUAAAAGAUCGCUCCUCAAAUCAAAAUUAAAACAUAAAUACAAAAUGUAUAAACAAACAAAUUGAGAAGGAAGCAAAGUCUUGAAUUUUUCUCCAAGUUUUCUCUUUUCGUUCUACCAAACUAAAAAACAUUUUUUUUAUGACUCCGUAUUAUUGAUUUGACAUUUUUUUUCUGACUCUGUAUUAUUGAUUUGUUCUGCUUAAGAAAGAAAUAUGACAAAUCAGGGUCAGCUUAUGUUAGGAAACACCACACCCUAAGACAACAUUUUAGUUUUACAAUAUCUAUUGUUUAUAUAACUAAAUCAUUUCACAACAACUUCAUGCAUUUAACGCAUGUAAAUAAUAAGUACAACAGCCGUGAUGUAAAUAAGUGGUAAAAACUACCAAAGUACAAAGGGAAAAAAAGUAUAGAAGGAAAGUUCACUGACCUCAACAGAAAACUGCAAAUCGUUGCUGGUGCUUAAAACAGACCUGAACUCAAUCUGAGCAACGGGCAACAUCAUGAUAAACUCCGUUAGGAAAAAUAAGAAGAGAGAAGAGAGAGAUAGGACGGAAUGGGGCACUGCGUUGGGGAGAUAAAACUAAAGCUAUUUGUACCUUUGAACUGCACCUCCGUCCAAUUUCCUGCAGCACUCCAAUAGAUAAAGGGGAUGGCAGCAGGGUCACUUUACCAGAUUCUAUUUGAGAUUCUCUAUUCAAAGAAGAUGCUUGAUUCUGGGAUACACCAGCCUCUGCACGAAAAAACUAGGUUAUAAAACGAUAGGUAUCACUCAUAAAAAGAACCAUAUACUAUUAAUCCUAAAGGAAGAUUAUAACUUAAAACCAAACAAAGGCGAAUGAUAAUCCUAUUCCCAUCCUCCAAGUUGUGAGGUUGGAUAACAGGCUAAAAUUAAAACGAAAGGAGAGAAAGAUAAAGAUGAGAGGAAGGCUCAUUAGGCACAAAGCAUAAAAUUUUCAGUCUCAAAACCGACACAACAAUAAUCUAUACUAAAAUGGAAGGACAGUAGCCUCGGACUCUCGAUUUCUUCUUAAUAUCUCAAAAACAUUCCUCAUAUAAACUUCAAAAUUAAAAAGUAUAAUGAUGAUUAGGCAGCAAGCAUUUCAGAAAAGAAAACCUUUCAAACCGCUUGAGAGAACAAGGACACAUCAAAAGGAAACUUAACAAUCUAUAUCUAAGAUUUUCCAAGGUCCAAGGAACAUCAACGUCUCGCAUCUAUGUUUAAAAUUUGUAAAUAUAUGGAUUAAUGCAUUGACCACUCAAAUCCAACACAUCAUUCAAUGGAUCUUACAAAUCCAUAUGAUGCUUUCCAUUUGUUUGACAAUCUCUUCUCAGGUUACUUAACUUGUGCAUGAAAAAGAGGACAUAAGAAGACUCAUUUGCACAGAGUGUACCAUGAUACUUUGACUGCAAGCUAUAGUGUUAUUCUAUAAUAUCAUCAAGGUGACAUGACCCAAAAUACAAUACAAAGCUCAGCAACCUACUAUUCAAAAGAUGAUGGCUAGGAAGUGAAAGAUACAUUCUAAUGAAAUCAUCCAAUUCAUUCCAGUUCGACAUGUAGGUUUCUAUACCAGGCGAUAAAGUAAAUUACCUGAAGGCUGACUUGGAAAAGGAAGAUUCUGUUUUUGCAAAUCACGCCCAGAAGAUACCUGCAAAUAGAGAAAAUUUUAAUCACUGAGACAUUUCUGGAAUUCUUAUAGUAACACCUUAAUUCAAAUUGUCAAAACAAGUGACUCCGAAAGAAAUUUAACAAAUUCUGGACAUACCUCUUCCCUCUUCAAAUCGGAUUUGUGUGAGAGCAAACCAGUGGGUGUAGAACCUGGUGUGGCAGGACCGAAAGGAUUCUGGUAAACUGACUUUUCAGGUUUUGAAACACCAGGCUGUUGAACAAGCUCAGAAGUGUGAUUACUCGAAUGUCCUCUGUUGUUGUCAUCAUCAACCAACCAUCCUCCUUGUGCAUUUAUUGAGGAUGCUGGCAGUUGUCCAGGCACUUUAGAUAAAAGAGGGGGCUCAGCAGAGCUUUGACUCCUUAUAUCUAGACCAGGAUUUGUACCAAGGAGUCCUCUCCUCAUCUCAUGGUCACGAUCAGAAAAGCUAUCACGUCUAACAGGAAGUCCAAGCAGACCAGGUUUCUGAGAAGGUAUGACCGGCCUCAAAGAUGUCGUACCAGCAGCAUUGGGAAGAAUUGCAGCCAGUGCUUGAGAGUUGUCAGAUCUUGACUCAGCAUGAUUUUUCACAGAAUGAACCACCGACUCCACACCACCCUUAUCAUCAGAUAGGUUUAAUCUUCGUUCCACUUCGACACCAUUCAUUCCUUCACUAAUGGGAGCAUUAGCAUUUCCAUUUGGUGCAAAACCAGCAUCCUCGGACAUCAAGUAAUUGCUCACAUCAGGAGCAGGAGGCAAAUUUACCACCUCAUCUUCAUAAAAAACUCCAGAAAUUCUUCGCAACAAAAUUUCAUCAAACUCUUUGAAAAAACAACCUCUGACAUUGCAUGCAACAUUUCUUGCUACACAGAGGACUGGAACUGCACUAGCUGUCUCUGCUUGAGGAGCAUAAUAUGGGCUGAAAGCUGGAACAACAUGGACUCGAGGUUGAUCCUUAUCUUCCCAGACAUUGGAACGGUCAUCAAUAACCAUUGCCAUCUUUGGAUGGCACACUCCUUGUUGGAAGACAUUCAGUAAAGAUUUCUUGGAGCCUGAUUUAACACAAACAACACGGUCCAGAAGUUGCUUUGAGCCUAUUAAGUGUGACCCUGGGUCAAGAAGCCUCCACAUUUCUAAGGCAUAAUCUCUUUCAGCCAUAGUACAGACGUAAACUUCAAACCUCUUGCGUCCUUUUGCAGUUAAAUAACUUCUCAAAUCUUCCCAUGCAGGUCGUAACCGCACAAGCACACUGGUAUCACGAAUCUGCAUUAAACAACAAUAUUGUAUUGUAGUCUUUUGCACACUUGCAUGAGAAUAUGUAGCUAUAUUUGCAGCUACUAUGACGAGAUUGACUUAUCAGUUAUCACUCAUUCUACUUUUUUGUAAGAUGACAGUUGUUUUACUAAAUAACUUCUAAAAGCUCCCUGACUAAUCAAACUGCCACAUGAAUUUUGGAUAACUCAAGGGAACAUAUCGCACAGAUGGGUGAAUGUAUCAAUGGAUCUAAAAGUUAACAAACAUAUGUUGAUCAAAAAAGCACUGCAAUGUUUGGAAAACCUACCGAGGUUUAGCCAAAUGAAAAAAAAAAUCUAAAUUUCUGCAAACAACAUUAGGCUACACUCCUAGCAUGCAGCUAAAUUAUCUCUGCCUAAAGAACACACUACGUAGUUUUCAUAAAUUUUACAUUAGGAUGGUGUUGUUCUCAAGUCCUAGUAAUGAAUGAUAUUACAACAUAUUGUCUCAAUGCACUCAUUCAUUAUCUUCAAUAACAGCAUUUAGGGUAUUGAAUUCCUAUAAAACAAAAGGGAAACAAACAAAUAAAACAUACAGAAAAAAAAAAAACAUGACUAGAGGAUCACCUCGGGAUUGAUGCGAGUGAGCACAAUGUUCUUCUCUGGCAAUCUAAUGAUAGGCCGAAUCAUUUUUUCAUGGUUAUCAGACAGUGGAGGAACCUCCUCCAGUUGAACUUUAUACAACUUUCCAUUAUCCAUCACACAAUCGUUAUCUAUAUAUUGCUUCAACAGCCACCUCUCGUCCAUGUACCGCUUCAUUUCAGCAGACAUUCCAGCUAUUCGCACCCCAUCACUCUCCCGUCCAAUCCAACUUCGUAAAGCCUCGAUCCUAUCCUCAAAAGACUUCAUGGUGUUGGCAACAAUCAACGUCUCAUCGAGAUCAAACACAAUUGAGAGAACCCUCAGAUUCAGCAUUCCUAGAGAAGCACUGUACAGACCAACAGGAACCGCAUAGCACCAAAAGCACGGAAAUUUCUUCUGCUUACUCGGCAUGGCUACCAAGUGAAUCUCCUCAUCCCCUACCAACACAAUCGCCGUCUGCUUAAGACAAUGAAUCACCUUAUUAGUACACUCCGCCUAAUUAACUCGAAAAAAAAAACAAAAAAAAACAAAAUCUGGAUCACAUUCUUGAUUUAACCACGAUACUAACUGAGCUAACUUUACUAGGUCAGUUAACUAACCGUUAUCCAAUCAAAUUACCUCCAAAAACUUCAGAUUAAAAUUUAUGUGCUGCCGGUACAUUUUCUUGGGAGCCAAACAGAAAGCUCAAUCUAAACAAUCUAUAUAAACAAAUGCAAACAUCGAAAAAUGGAAGCAAUUGAGUGGGAACCUUGAACUCGUAGAAGCAAGAGGCGUGGAGAUUGAUCAAAUGCGGCUGUUCGACAGGGGAGGCCGAUUCGAGUUUGCAGCGAACAGAAAACGAGGAAAUCGUCUGGAGAAUUGAGAGCGGAGGACACCUCUCGCUUUGCUGCGAAAUCCGGUGGAUUCGAAUCUCAUUGUUCGGGAACCGGAAAUUCCCGUCCGUCACCGGAAUAGCGUCCAGCUCUCCCAAACGCAGCUCGCCAUGGUAGACUACGGACUUGAACCCUAAACGGCUCAUUAAUUUAGAUCAAAUUUGAGAGGGAAAGCGCGAAGAAUUUGAGGUCAAAUCGUAAAUGUUGAAAAGAUCAGGGGGGUUUCUGUGAAAAAUUGGGAAGUAAUUCUCCAGUUUUGCUAUCCGCUCCUCCUUUCUCUCUCACUCCUCUCAGACCUCUUCGCUCUCUCUCUCUCUCUCUCUCUCUCUCUCUCUCUCUGCCUUCGGUUUCAAACAAUGAGACUCGCCGGGUAUUUAUAUGCCCAAGGGGGCAGUUAUGUGUCCGAAAUUACCAUUAUAUCCAUUCAGCCCGGAAGUCCGUUGAUUUCGGAUGGCCGCCUCUGGACCGUUUGAUCAAAGGUAGGAUUUUGGACUUUUGCGCACCUUUAGUUUGUUUUUUUUUUCUUUAAUAAGGAGAGACAAUUGACACAAUUAUCUAUCAUUUUUUAGAGCCGGAAGACUCACAAAUGUAUUUCAGCAUUUUCUUAACCAGAGUCAAGUAGACUCACUAGUUUGGGUCUUGAACCCGAAAUCUCCUUGUCCUUUUAUAUUUUAAGAGCCGAAAUUCGCGCCCUUACAAUUAGAUCACUGUUGUGGUUUGCGAAUCUUUUAGUUCAAGAUGCAUAAAGUUAUAAGGUAUUAUAUUUUAAUUAUUUUUGGGUUUAAUUCUUUUUUAUAUUUUAUUUUUAAUCCAUGGGAAUAAUUUAAUCUUUAUCAGCUAAUCAACGGAAACCAGGCUGAAUUUUGUUGUUAAUUAACCGUGGUUUAAAAAUUUAAUCUUAGUAAUGUUGGACUAUUUGUAAUUUUAUAUGAGGUCCAUUGGGCUUUAUUUAAAUGGGCCACUAAAAAUUGCUUGCAGUAACUUGGCCCUCAAAAUCCAAUUAGAAAACCCAAAUAGCAUCUGACAACUCAAUUUAUUGAAUGGAAAAAACCAAAAAACCAAUUAUGCAACAGAAUGUUCAAAAGCUUUUAUUUCAUAAAUAAGAAGUUGUUAGCUUAGUUGGGCUAGUUUGGUAUUGUUGUAUUUUUUGAAAAAAAAAAACUGUUUCUGUUGUACGAUGAGAAUAAACAGUUGUAAAAUAAAGUUGUUGAGUGCUUGGUAAACUUUUUUUUUGUAAAAGUGCUUUUAACCAAAAAAAAUGUCCAAGUGUUUGAUAAACUUUUAUAUAAAUUAUUGUGAAUAUGUAAAAUGACUAAAAAUAAUAUGGAAUUUAAUGUGAUAUUAAUAAUUGUGACAAAGAAUAAUGCAGGGGCAAUCACUGUAAUUUUGUAAUAUAUGUGGAGAUAUAUUUGUCAUUUGAUAAUUCCAUUAAAUGAGCACUGAUUACUAUGCUUUGAAAAAAAAAAACACUUUUUUUCAGAAGCAUGAUAAAACCUGCCCUGAUUUUUUAUGAUUUUCUACUGUCACUUACAACAAUUUUUUAAAAAGUACUCUUUUUUUUUAUUUUACCAAACACAUUUUAUGUUCCAAAUCUGUUAAUAAGCUUCUUUUUUAAAAAGCACCACAAUCCAAAACCAACCCUUAACUAAAAACACCUCUUAUAUUUGAGGUUCUAAGUUCGAUUUCUCCUCCUUGCUAUUAUUUGUAUUAAUUUUUUUUGAGUUUUUAUAAAUAAAAAAAUAGUUCAACCUCUUCAAGCUAGCCCCUGCAAUUGAAAAUCGUUCAAUAUAUUCCUUGAAAAUGGGUGUCUCAAAUUAGAGUGGUUCUUCUGUCACAAUUCUGUCAAAGAUUUUAUUAUGUGUUGAUGUGGCACAUAAUCAGAUUUCAUAAGUCUAAUUAAAUAUUACUAUGUGAAAUUAAAAUAUUUAAAUAAAAAAGAUGUAUAAUUAGGCAACGCACGACACCACACUGAUAAGACAAACAUGGUUUAGCAUAAACCUAAAUCUCGAACGAAGGAUGUGAGGGUCGAAUCACGCAUGCGGAUUUCGCCCACUUAAUUCACUUAAUGGCGAACACUAAUCAAUCUAGAGAAAUGUUGAACAAAGAAAAAAUGUUCGUGAGAACUGUUGCCACAUAAGCCAAAAAUGAUGUACUUUGUCUUAAGUUACCCGACUGUAAAUUGGCUCGAAACAGUUUGAACUUGUACCGAUUUCUACUUGUGUUUGGCUCAUCGAAGCUCGACUCAUGAAAGAACCAAGCCAAGCAUAGUUCAGCUUGAUUAAAAAAUAAGUCAGACUUGAGCGUUAGUAUGUUUGCCUUGUAAAACUUGUGAACAACUCGAAAUUUUUCAUGAGACAGGUCAAGGUAAGCUUGAGCUUGGCUUGGUCAUUCAAGCUCGACAACUCUUGAGAAGUACGUAUCUAGAGUCCCAAGUCUAACUCAAUUAACAAAGGGGUGUGAUUUCCGUACACCCCAUUUUACUUCUCACAUAUUUUUUAAUUUCAACCGUCGGAUCAGAUGAAUUGAAGAAGAUUAACGAACAAAAAUUAUCAAGGGGUGUGUGAGAAGUAAAAUGGAAUGUGUGGAUAGCACACUCCUUAACAAAACAAAGAAUAGCCAUUUAAUAUUACGAUCUGGCUACGGUCUAAUGAUAUUCUUCUUCACUUGAAAUGAGAAAUCUUAGGUUCAAAUUUAUAGAAUUGUGAGUUCAAAACUAAUUUAUUCCACCCGCUUACCGUAAAUAUAUUGUUGUAAUAAGAAAACCUAGAAAUGAUACUUUGAUGGGGGUUCUUCCUCGUGGAACCAAGUACAAAUAGGACUUCAUGGUUGUCGCUCAAAGAAGCCCAAACCAUACAAGAAGAUAAGUAAAAAUCAGCAACCGCUUGCAUACUAUAAGCUUUGUUACUCAUUUUAUACUAACAAAUAAAAGGAAAAAUGUGAAGCAGCCAGAGGCGGAUCCACAUAGGGACCAGGGAGGUUCCAGGACCUCUCGACGAUCCUAAAAUGCUGCUAUAAUUUUUUCGGGGGACCCCUCGACGAGAACACAAGGUCUAUGCUGCAGGUUGCAAUAGAGAAGAAGACAGCGGGGUUGCGGGGGAGAAGAAAGAAAACAGGGUUUUUUAAAAAGUUGGUCCAAAACGUAGUGUUUUGGCCUUUUUUUUGUUGUUGUUAAAAGCUAAUGAGACAAAUGGUGCCGUUUGUCAAUUGUCCAUGAUUCCAUACGUCUAGCCCCACAUGGGCCAUCUUUCCAGAGAGUCCCUUUCCUUUUCCCGUUCCGUUCCUCUGCUUUUCCCCCCUAAUCCCCAUCUUUCUUAUAUUCACCCAAAACCCUAAAUUUCUAAUCCCACCCAAUCCCGUAUUAUAAUUAUUAAUUACAUUACUUCAAUAUCAUACCUCCACUUGUUUCAAUUCUCCAAGCCACCACUAUUUGGUUCAAAAUUCAAUUAAGUUUUUUGGUAUUCUAAUCUAAUCUCAAUUAAAUUAUAUUAGAUAUUGGUGGAGAUUUUUAGUCUAUUAUUGAUAUGAUUGUUGAUAUGUUUUAUGUUUGUAUACUCAUUUUAUAAUUGAAAUUUAGAUGGAAUUUUUGUUUAUUGGUUGAUUGGUAUUUGUUUUGUGUUUUUGGUUAAAUGUGUAGUUUAGAAAUAAGAAAUAUGGAACGAUUUUUCAAGCCAAAGCCAAUAGCACCAUUGACUUGUUCGGAUAGUUCGAGCAGACAAAAUGAGUGUGACAUUGAUUUUAAUAAUCUUGAGAGAGACCGGGAAAAAGAAUUUGAAUGAAGGACUAUCCUUCUAAUAUUCAAGAUGAGAUCCGAAAAGCAUAUUUGCAAAUGGGACCUUGUAGGCCUACAAAGUAUGACUUCCCAUACACUUUGAAUGAAAUGUAUUAUAUUUAACUUUUCAAUGUUAUUUUUAUUUAUAAAUUUUUUUGACCUCUAUUAUUGGGACCCCCCGAGUUUAAAAUCCUGGAUCCGCCACUGCAAGCAGCCGGGAACUUUAGCAACGUUCCAGCAAACAGUUGAACGAUACCGUGCAAAUGAUCAUCUCGGAAGUAUUUGUGUUUCAGGAUCGUCAAAGAUCAACGAGCUGGUGGAAGUUAUAUCAGGGUUUGCUGUUGAUUUCUUGCGUGACUGAGAUGAUGACGAUGUCUCCUCCAAUGAACUGGUACCGCCAAAUUUUCCAGGUGCAUGCAUCCUCGGCCUUGGUUUUGUUAGUGCCUUCUCAUGUUUCAAUCGGAAGAGGACGUUUAUUAACGAUUGAAAUGCAUAACAUCAUCAUUCAGCACCUGGGAAAUCAUAAGUACCUUCUCGUUUAGGUGGACCUCUUUGGAAAGCAUUUCCACAACUUGCGUCAUUGUUGGUCUCUGUUGCGCAGUGGCUUGAGUACAAAACAGCGCAACCUUGAUGAAGCGCAUAACCUCGGCCUCUGGAUAUGCAGUCAAUUCUGGAUCAACAAGUUCCAGGAGCCUUUCUUCUUCUCUUAGUUUCCAUACCUGAAAAAGCAUUUAUACGAUUGUCAAGGUACUCGGAAUAUACCUCUUGUAAGUAUGUUUUACAUUAAGAUGAAUGCACGCAGAACAUCCUGUUAACGACCAUUGCAUCAAAACAUGAAAAGGGUUUCUAUGAUUCAUUGCCUAAGAAUUUUGUACUUUGUCUGAGCACAAUGUAAAAAUUUAUACAUAACAGAAGCAUACCCAUUCGACGAGAACCAGCAGUUGCUCCCCAAAGGCUACCUUACUACUACUUCUGCCACUAAUUAUCUCAAGCAAGAGCACCCCAAAGCUGUACACAUCUGCUUUCUUCGUAAGUUGUCCCAAAAGCGCAUAUUCUGGGGCGAGAUAUCCCCUGCAGAAGCAGAACAUUAUUGUUGUUAGUGCACAAAACAUUAGUAGGAACAUCUAUAUUAUAUCAGUUGCUAAUGGCUAUUGGUUCCUACUCUCCUACGCAGUAUGCACUACAAGAUUAUUGACUAAAUUUCUGGCAGAUUAAGAGCAACUAUGUACUUCGUAAACCCUGAUACUGAAUUGAACUUGAAGUUAGUACUCGAUCAUAUUGGUUAUUCAUUUUAAGGAGGAAACCUCCAACACACCACAUUCAAAAACUAAUUUCUGAACUACAUAGCUGGGUUGCAGUUAAAUUAAAUGUUAUAAGAAAUUCUUACUCCGUUCCAGCUACUCUAGUACUAAGAUGAGUGACAUUAUCAGGAAAAAGUUUUGCCAGCCCAAAAUCUCCAAUUUUAGGACGAAAAUUUGCAUCAAGAAGUAUAUUGCUAGCCUUGAUAUCUCUGUGGACAAUUUGCUGUUCAGCUUCCUCGUGAAGGAAUGCAAGACCGGUAGCUGUACCAAGGCAAAUCGAAACUCUCGUUGGCCAAUCUAGAAAAACAUAUUUACUUCUCGAACCUGGAAAGAUAGUUGUUGCAUAUUAGCAUAUACAGAAUGUUUGACAGAUUAGAAUAAAAGGGAAAAACGAUGAGAUAAACGGCUCAACUAAGCGGGUUAAAAAUCAUGUCAAUCCCCCCGCGGGUGGGUGAAAAAUUAACUUUAGAAAAUGAAAUCUGAGGUAAAACAUAGAACUUAAAUAUUCCAAUAAUUACCAAGCAAAGAUCUAGAAAGACUGUUGUUCUCCAGAUAUUCAUAUACCAAUAUCCGAUGGUUGUCCUCCACACAGCAACCAAGGAGCUCAACAAGGUUUGGAUGUCGUAUACGCGAUAUCACAUUAAUCUCUGUCAAAAAUUCAUUUGCUCCUUGUCUAGAUUCUGCGGAAAGACAUUUGAUCGCAACUUGGGCAUCAUCUCUUAGAACUCCCUGAUGUGAUAAAUGAUAUUAAAGUAUCAGAAAUAAAGAAACCGUAUAGUAGUCAAUCUUGAACCUUUAGACCUAGGAUUAACAAACUUUCAUUUUUAAGUGCUUCAAUGCUGGCCAUCAUGAAGAAAUUUAGACCUACUACACAAAUAAAAGCUUCAUUGACCUCACCCUAUAGACAACUCCAUAACCUCCUCCACCUAUCCUGCUCGAUGGAUGAAAGUUCCUAGUAGCUGAUCUCAGAGAAUUAUACGAGAAAAGCCUUACGUUGUUGUUGAUAAUCCCUAAUUUCCAUACAUACAGACAUAAAAACCCUUGUGAGAUCAAUUUAUCCAGUUCAGAAAUAAUAUAAGAAAACUUCUAAUAGCAUGUAUGUAUCCGACAGCAUAAUCUAAGCCUAAAAUGGCAAACACAUUUUUCGGUCUUUCUUUUCCGCUUCAUAUGUGUGAUUUCUAAAUUCAUUAGUUGAACAGAUGGUCAAAGAGGUGGAAGUAGAAAUAAAUAAAUAACAGGGUCUUGGAGAAAUUAAAGACAUAAGACAUAUACGAAUCUGCAUAAUUUUACUCUUCUAGCUUGCUAUGAAAAUUCAAUUUAUCAGGGAAAGAAAAUGGAAAUUGGACACAACCAUUUACCAUGGUGGUGAUAUACAAACACGACACUACCAUUCGUCAUGGUGAUGAAAUGCAGACACAACACAACCAAUUAAUUUACGCUACAGCAGCAAUAGGAAUCAUUGUACUCGGGGAGCUUGCGUUCUGCUAGAUUUGAGAACUCUCAUUUCUUACAUACAACACAAUAGAUGUUUCACAAGCUCAGAACCUGAGCUACAUUGCGGCCGUUGCCCACAAAAAUUUUAACCCUUGUACACCCACUGAAAAGGUACAAAGGUGCAAACUAAAGCUCUAACAGAACCCUUUUGCAUCCACUCGAAAAAAACCUGGACUUUGGUUCUGAAAUUCAAUAAUCGAAACGAUAAUUAUGCUACAAGCAACUUACAGAAGGGAAACACACACAAAUGGAAAGUAUUGACUAUUUUACUGCUUUUACCAUAUAAAGAGUUCAUUUGCUAAUUAAUUACUAACAAAUCCUUACCUUGCUCCUGGAAGGAAGACGAGGAAGCUCUUUCUUCUUUACGCCAUUUCAGCACAGAGAAGCAACCACAAACCAUUGCAGCACACAAUUUAGUUGCCCUAAAACCCUAACACCAUAUCUCCAUAAACCCUAAUCUGAAAAUCACAGAAUCAAGCUCCAAAAUCCAGCACAACCCACUAAGCAAAAACACAACGAACCAAAAUUAAAGUCAAGAACUUUUUGUUCUACAAAAUGAAAAUUGAAAAAGCAAAAGCUGGGAACUUUGAAAUAAAGCAGAUCACUGCGGAAUCUGGAACCCUAACCAGAAUUGGGAACCUCUGGAAUUCUUCUUCUGCAACAGGAAAAAGCCAGAAAAGCGCCUUUGCUUUUCUGGGCCAGUUGGGUUUUUAAGCAAAAACAAAAACCCAAAUGGCAUAGAAACAGGGAAGGCAGAUGAAAGGUGGGAAAUUAAUAGUGGAGGAUUAAAUUGAAAACCCAUGUUACCCAUGAACAAAGGUAUUAGAAAUAAGAAGUGGGAAACCUGAUAAAUUUUGAAGGGUCAAAAGUCUGCUAUUUACAGAAACCAGUGAACGGCUUCUGAUGGUGACAUUGUUUUUCUUUGGUUUAAUUUCUUACCCAAGUUGCAAGAGAAGGGAAAGAUUAAUCAAAAUUAAGGUUGGGGUUUUGGGAGUGAUCCAAGUAAGUCAAAGUUGAAGAUUUGGGCGUUUAUCCUCCGUAAUUCUUUAGGCCUUUUCUGGUGCUGGUAGGUAAUCGGUCACACACGAACUGCUGUAGUUUCAAACUCACCUACACCAAGUUUUGUAUAAAAGAAAUUUUUUUAGUUGUUUCUUUCUUUAUACGCGGAAACCAUUUUCCUCUCUUGACCCCCCACAAUAGUUUUUUUAGAAAAAUUAAUGAAAAUUAUUUGAAAAUUUUGAGUUUUAACGAUAAUGACAGAAUAAAGGAUAAAAUGAAUAGUAUCAGAAUUGACAUUUUAGUGUAAAAAUAUGAUUUUUCUUUAAAACGAACAGUACCGAAAGUUCUGUUGUUAAAAUUUCCUAGUUUUUUUAGUGUACCCAACGACCAUCACGUAAUAUUAAUUUUCAACGCAUGACAAAUGUUUCGAGUACACAUAAUUUCUCAUAUCCCACGUCAAUAAGCAACCUAAAAUUAGCAUACACCAGAUAGGACAGUUGGCAAAACUGAAGUUACAAAAAAAAAGGGUCAUUUUGGAGUUGAUUGAGAAUCGAACUUAAGUUAACAAGUGGACGUUGUCAACCCACCUCUUUAUUCUUAAUCUGUUUAUAUUAAAAGUACACACGCAAAAUUAACAUUUCUUAAUUUAUAUUAAAAGUAGACGCAAAAUUGACAUUCUCUAAUGUAAAUAUGAUUUCAUAGUAUGAGUUUUCUUUUCUUUGCUGGACUAUGAUUGAACACACAACACAUCCAUUUUCUUUGUUUGUAAAAGUUUAGGAGGAGAUUGGUUACUCUCACCAUUAACGUCAGGAUAUACCCACAAUCUCGAGCAAGAAUAAUUUAUGUGUGGCACCUAACUAUCGGUUGUCACCUGUAUGGAUUUAUAUAAGAAUUUACAGAUCGCACACCAAUAAAAACUACUAUCAGUGAAACUCGAACUUUGAUACGAUCGAUGACACACAAAACAAGAACCUUACCAAUCAUUUGUUACUAUUAGACAAAUUUCUCCUUUGAUUUUCUUCUUAUUCUUUGCCAUAACGCCCGUUCGGGACAAGUUGGAAGAGGAAUUCCCAAUUCUUACAUGGAUGAGACCGUUGAGCCAACCCUCGUUAGAAUUGAAUUAGUCAAAUCGAACCAACCACAGUCCACACCUUUCAUUUCCCCUAUGCAUCACACUUUUGACAAAACCCAAAGGUUUUUUUAUUUUUUCCUUCUUUUUUUUUGUCGUCGUCAAACGAUAGAUUUUUAACUCGGUUAACAACAUCAAGUGUUAUAAUAACAAUCAUCAAAAUUCGAUUUAACCGUUGCACGAGCCGUAGGGCCGGUUACUACGAUCAGGAUUUUACUUCUUUUCUUUUCAAUGUACACCAACUUUUAGUCGGUUAUGAUUAAUAAAUUACACAACGCAUACAUCUUUAAUUUAAAGACUAAUUACCUGACCAGUCCUUGGAAAGGGAUUAGUUGAACUAACACAUUUCGCACAUCUGUUGUAUAAGAAGGCCCACAUCUCAAAGUCUUUAACGAUGGAGAUUAACUGCUUAAAAACCAUAACUUUUUAACGUGUAUCCUAUGAAAGUAAUUAUGUUUUUGAGUCCCCACAUUACAUGUUCUAGAUACAUGAUGCACGGGUGAGCAAUUCUUUUUUAUUAAUUCAAGCAUUUUUCUAAGAAGACUCCUUCAAAGUAAGACUCUCAAUGAAUUAUCUGUCAUUUCACAAUUUAAUAUCAAUUCCUAUACCAAUAUUAUAAAAAUAUUGUGCUUUGACAGAAAACGUACAAAAAAUCUCACGUCUGAAAGAAUUUCAUUUGCAUUUCUCCUUUUCAAAAUAUCUGUAAAUAGGUUGGGUAUUCUUUCCAGGACUAGUGGAGUCUGCACUUCUGAAGCAAAAAGAAAAGAUUGAAGUUUGAACGUUUUCUUCCUUUUUGCUAAUUCUUACUUUAUUACUGAGUGGGUUCGGUGAGGAAGCACUAGUGGAAGAACACGCAGAAAAUGUUGUAUAUAAUAUAUAUGCAAAGGGAUCUCCAUUUGUUUUAAAAAAUGGGGAUUAAGUGUGUGUGAAACUCACUUCACAUCGAACUUUAACGAUCUAAAUCAUCUAUUUUGUAAGUCUCGAUUCAUAGAUUAUCAUUACAAUAAUUUAAUUCAAUCCGAAACCAUUUAUCUAUUUAAUUAUCAAAAGAAAAUUUCAUUAUUUUUUAUAUAACAAAGUAUUCGUUAAUUUAUUUGAACUCAAUUAGAUAUCUUAAACAUUUUCGAUUUGGCUAAUAUCUUGCAAGGAUGAUCUAUGAGGUGCAACUUAAAAAAUAGACGGUUCGGAUCAUUAAAGUUCAAUAUGGUGUGAACCCUACAACUAAUCCCAUUUUUAUAAAAAAAAAAAAAAAAAAAAAAAAAAUGGAAUCCCUUCCCUUAAAGGUUCCCUAUAUAGGAAAAGGAUUCUCGUUGGAUCUUUUUUCUCUGGAUCACAAAAAUCUCUUGAUCGUAACCGUUCACCGUAUAUCGUACGUGUUGACAAUUGACAGGACAUCUAUUCAUUCAGUUGGAGCAUAUGAACACUUGUUCGAUUGUCAAACGUUUGUAUUUUUGUCUCUCUCCGCAAUGUAUACGUUGACAAUUGACAGGGACAUCUAUUCAUUCAUGUGGAGCAUACUUGAACACUUGUUCGAUUGUCAAACGUUUGUAUUUUUGACUCUCUCCGCAAUCCGAAUUGACCUGGUGUCUCUAGUUUUCAUUUGGUUGUCUAUUGUCAAGAUGCAUGAUUAAGCAGGACGAUUUCCACACUCCCAUUUUCUCUUUUGCACUCACCCCUUUUUUCGUUGUGUUUGGAUUGAAUAAAUCAAAGGAUAAUGAACGGGAGCGUGUAAGCAACUCCCAUGGAAUGUCAUGUCUAAUAUGAUAGCAAUAUGAAGAAUGAAACCUUAAUAAAUUUCAAGUUUCAUAGUAUGAACAGUAAAUUGUAAAUGCUGAAGGAGGUCUUCAACUUGCAAAUCAUCGAAAUCUAGUACAAACAAUCAUGGCUACGGAAAAUAUGGUUCAUCAAAAGCACCCGAUACUUGUUCUGGCAUAGCGAGGACUGAUACUCGGAAUCGACAUGACUCACAAACUUUCUCUAACAUUUACAGAUCAGCUUCGUUCAGGUAUGCGCUGUAGCUUAAAUAUCGCGCUGAGUAUGCCAAUUUCCCGUGUAAAAUAAUACUGCUGGGAGAAUGAUGAGGCUGGCUGCAAAUAAUUCGGGGUCGAUGGUCCCAUGGGGCGGUCACCUACCUUGGUGUCUUGCAGGAGGAGUUUCCUCUCUCACUUCCAGGAUCAAUAGCUUCAAUUUCACACCCCUCUAAACUAAGAGGAAUGUUGUUGACACUUGGUUCGGAGCUAGCAUUGCUGCAUGUGGCAAGAGGAGAGUCCAUCGCACCAGUUGUAUUGCUUUUUGUUGGUUUAAUUCUGACACUAUACCCAGAGGAAGCUGGAACAUUCGUCAGAACUGGCCGUAGAUUGCCUGGCAUGCUUCGCCUUAUAUCCUGUAUAAAGAAAAUUCCAAAAUUUAAGUUAAAUGCUACUUCUGAAAACGGGUUUUGCUAGUCAUGUGGAUAAUUUAUGAAUCAAACCAAGCAUAAUUUGGAAUUGGAUAGUACAAAGUGGAAUGCAAGAUCCGAAUGAAGGGAAACAACAUGCACUUGAACAAGGAAAGUGAUGCAUACCAUGUGCCUCAUAGCCAUAUCAAUGGACUUCUUUGAAAGAUUUCUUCCAAAGCCUGAGCUUUCAGAGGAUGAAGACUUCCCACCGGAACCGUUAUCAGUAUUAUGAUGGUCAUAAUGCUUAGGUGGUGCCAGUUUCCGCGAGUUUACUACUCUCUCAACCAUUUGUGUUCCAAUAAGUACAGGGUUCACAUCAUCAUUGUCAUGAGAAGAUGAUCUGCUUAUGACUCGAUGAGAGUUCCCAUUGGUAGUGGUACUAACAUUUGAAGCCCGUGCUCUAGAAGGUGAACACGAUUGCUGUCUUGGUUUUCCAUUAGAACCAGCCAUAACAGAAGAUGAUUUAACACUUGGCGCUCCAGGCCUAUCCCUAGAGGCUGAAGCCGGCCUUUGUGGCACUGAUGUUCUUAAAGUUGGGGGCGCAUCAUGUGAGAAACCAGGAAUCUCAGAGGAUUUCAAGGGCCUUGGUUUUACCGUCGGAGAACUUCCACGUGAUGAAACUGGAUUUUUUGAACUUGUGGGGCGUAACUUUGAUGCUGAAGAAGAUCGACCAGGAGGGGCAGAUACGGCAGCUGCACUUGAUGAACUUGAUGAACUUGGUCGAUGGGUUGGUGUUGCUGGUCUUGAUGUUGACCUGGAAGCUGGUGCAGAGGGUCUGGUAGUUGGUGCAGAAGGUCUGCCAGUUGGUGUAGAAGAACGAGCUGUGGACCUAGAAGGAGUUGAAGACCUUACGGGAGGAGCCACAGGCUUUGGGGAUGAUAAGGUGGCUCGAGAAUUUGGGGUGGAGGAUCUUGAGGGCUUGGUUGUUGAAGGUAAUGUGGACCGUCCAAUUGGUGUUGCAGAUCUACGAGUAGCAGGUGAUGAGGGCCUUCUGUUACCGGAACUGGAAGAGUUCAGUCCAGACGGCAAUGUUGGCUGCUUAGAUGUUAUAUUGUUCCUUGAAGCAGAUUCUAGCUGGUUGUUUGCUAGCUGAAAGUCCCAAGUUAUGGGAAACAUGACAACAUAAAUUUGCAAAUGACAACUUCAUAAGUCAAACGAAAUGUCUCCCAAAACAAUCAAUAGAACACCAUUUGCAAUCAUAAGUUUGUAACUUGUAAGUAAGGAAGACUAAAACUAUGGGAAGAUUCAAGUCCAACCUUACUAUGACACACAUACAUCUCAUAGAAUCUACUAUCAAUGAGUCAAAUGUACAAAUGCUGCACAUACAUUUCGUAGAAUUAACAUCAAUGAGUACAGAUGCUGCGCAUGCACUUCAUAAAAUUAAAAACAAAUGAGUCAAAUGUCCGAAUGCUACACAUACAUCUCAUAGAAUUUAACGCUUCUAUGUAUUUAGAAUGUGUUAGCUAAAGUCCUUACCCGAGAUUUUGGGGCGGAUGCACGGUCAUUAGUAAUCUCACUCUGAUUCGUCGUAGUUUUCUGCACUUCCAUAUCCAAGGAUGAAAAAAGUGGAGUAGCUGGUGGUGUAAGAAGCCUGGACACAGAAAAGAUUACCGAUAGAUCCGAUACCACAACAAAUGACUCAACAUUACUACGACGCGGGAGUCCAGACCAAAGCAUAGAGAUUAGAGUGAGAAAUAGAAGUCUACAAAAUUGAACAAGGAUUUCUGUCAUAUGAAGCCUCAAUCAGUUUUUCUUGAAAACAGUCCUUAGAAACAGAACUGCCCCUGAUUUUUCAAACACCUCAGCAAAAUGUUUUAGAAAUCAGAUCCCAGUUCAUUAGUCCUAGGAUAAUUUAAUCCCACCCAAUUUAGCAACCCAACAGUUUUCUUCAUCAAUUCAACAAGUUACCAUAACCAGAGACUUAAACUUUGAUUAGUCCUACGGAAAUUUAAUCCCACCAAAAACCAAGACAACUUUGACAAUAAUUUACUCACCAAUCGUAGUCAGAUUUCUCAUUCUCCGAAUUUAAAAACUCAUCCACCCGGAUCUUCGGCUGGGGCGGUGGCGCCGCCCCAACAGUCCUGGAAACCGCCGCGCCUCCGCGGUUGUCAGAUUCUGCAGAAACCAAACACAACCCACCAUCAAAACCAACCUCAUAAACCCAAAAAAACAACAAAGACUGAAACUUUAAACCAAAAACAAGAAACCCAAAUGCCGUCGUACCCGGAGGAGCAACAGCGGCAGCAAUAGGGUCGAGCUCGUCGGCGUUCUUGUUCGGGGGAAGGAGGAGAAAGCCGGCAUUUUUCUCCUUGUCCUUCUCGCGCCUCCGCAUCUCGAGAAACAGAGCGAGCUCUUCGUCUCUGUCGUUGACGUUCACCACCUUCCCGAAGCUCCGUUCUCGCGCCCUCGACUCCACAGUAACUUCCAUGGUCGUCUCUGCAGCUCAGCAAACACAGAGGCUUCGAGAAGAGAGAGAGGAGGGGGGGGGGGCGGAGUAUUUCUGUAGCUGAAAUUUCGGGUGCUGAGUUUUUUUUGUAGUAUUUUUCUGAUUGCUUUGACAAGAAAUAGAAUAUCUCAGUCAGUCGCUCUCUCUCUCUCUCUCUCUCUCUCUCUCUCUCAAUCUCUCUCUCUCUCUCUCUCUCUCUCAAUCUCUCUCGUUUUGGAAGCAUUCAGAAAUUUGAACAAAAAAACGAAGCAUUGGGAAAUUAAUAUUUUAUUUAAUGUGGGUAAUUUGUGAAGAUUGGUGCUGAAUAUGGGCUGAGAUAUGGGGAUAAUUACGACUGUGCCAUUGGAUUUGCUCUUGCGAGACGUGGCAUUCUCUUGAUCAUUUUCCUCAUAAACGGUAGACAUGUGAAGAAGAUACAAGAUUCAUGAUGCAUGUGAACUUCAUGGAAAGUUUUGGCCUUGGAAAAUAAAUGAUUUUGGGGUUAGUGAAAAGCUUAAAUUUCCUGUGAUAAGGUGCUCAUAAUAUUUGCAAAGAAUGAUCGAGAUUUGGACACGUAAUUUUGAAUGAACAAGGUUAACCUUAUUAACAACUUGAGUUGCAAAAUUUUUAAUUUAACAAUUUAGCAUGUAAGAAGUCAUUGGGAGAGGAUUACAUGAGGUUAAUUUUCACAUUGUUUGUAACUAUAGCCUAUUAAUUUGGUAUAUAUUAUGUUCUUGAUUGUUAAUAUUAUGUAUGAUUAAUGAUCAUGUAAAAUGCGUGAUUAAAAUUAACAGUCUAACAACUUAAUAUGUUGAGUGAUAGAAAAUACUAAGCUAUUUUGUCAUAUUUGCACAUGUACAUGUCAACUACAACCUCAACCAUACCUAGGUUUUGUAGUUAAGCAUAAGCUAAAAUCAAUCAUCAAUCAAUAAAUAACCCUAUGAAUUUUGAUGAUAAACAAGUUUAAUUUUAUUAUAAUGAAACGGUGAGACAUGAGGAAUAAGAUGGAUUGUUCCUCGUCAAGACGUUGAGUCGGAUCAUGUCGUACAGUUUUGUUGUUUUGUUUUUUUAAUUUAAUGAAACGGUGAGUUUGUAAAUGGGGGUUUAAGAUUUUAAUAUUAUUUCUAAAAACAACAUAUUCAUCUAUUAUUUGCAUACAUCCCUUUUGCCCUCCUCUUACGAAAAGAUGCAAACCUGAAUUAUUUUUGUAUGUUCUUUCUAUAUUUUAAAUUUUUUUAGCGGUUACCCUACUCUUUGCCUCCCACUAAGUUGUAUUGCAAAGUUUUUUUAUUCUCUCUAUUAAACUGAAUGGGUCUUUCAAUUUUGUAAAAAUUACUUCAAUUAAUCACGCAAUGAGUUCAACAUUUUUUCCCAUACAUAUAUGAAAGGCACUCCUUCACAUAGAACCCUGACUCUACCACAGUGAGAGGACCAGAAAGAAGAGAAAUUUGAAAAUAAGAGAAUCCUACUCUCCAUAAAAGAUUAAAACUUGCAUAAAAUACUUGAUUACUUGCAAUAAAAGAAAUCUCAUAAUUAAUAGGUAACAUUUCAUUUUCUAAUAAUAAUUGAGAGGAUAAUAUCCCAGUAUCCCAGAUUUGAAGCUGAUGACGAAAUGAGUGGUAAUAUUGUAAUUAAGUGCAACGACAAACCCAUUUAAUUAUGAGAUUUAAAACGGGAGAGAAACAUUCCCGUUAACAAUGGCACAUGCUAGAAGCCAGGAGCCUUUGACUGACGACACGUCGUAUUGAAACGCCGAGGAAUUUAAUUCAAACUUCGUUGCUCAAAAGAUGCUCGGAUUUAAACGUGGGCUGUUGGAUUCCUUUCCUCGAGAUGACCUACUCCGCAUCGGACGGAUGCUGUUGGUCGGCGAAUUUAAAAGGGGCGCAUGGCGUGGGUCCCGCCCAGAGAAUCGUGUGGUUUAAAUUUUGGGUAUCUUUUCUCAAUUCGUGGGCCCCGAUUAGAUUGCAGAUUGCCGUGAUUGGUCACUAACCUAUGGCCCAAAAAAAGCCCAACCUGAAAAGGAUCAUAUCAUGAGUUAUUUUUAUUCAGCUAAAAAGUUCUUUAAUUCUUUUCUUUAUCAAUAAAUCUACACUUUUAGGCCUUUUAGUUUAAGAUAAUUUUCACUUUGAAUCAUGUAAUUUAUAUUUUAGAAAAUUUUAGACAUGCAUUUUGUGUACUAUUGUAAUUUUGAGUUGCUAAUCUCAUUAGAAUUGACGAUGAAAUAUGAUAUUGCAGUACAAACAUGUUUCAUAUGUUAAAUUUGAAGACAAAUGCUUUCCAAAUCAAUUCGAGAAAGGAUUUUGAGCAUUUGAACUAAAUAUCGUUUUUAUGGCACGUUUUUCAAAAUCAACGCACUUAAAAUCUCAACAAAGUACAAUAUAAGUAACAAAAAUGAUCCUUCCAUUUUCAAUCCUCAAACAAAAAACUUAGGAAUCGAUUUUUAUCAAUUUUCAUUUCUGCGUACCAAACAUAGUGUGUUUUUAAGUUUCGAGACAAAAAUGAGAUAAGAGCAAUUUUAAGUAUGGAUAGGAAUACACGUUUGUGUUACUUGUGGUAUUUUUGGGGUCGGAAGUGAGUGAGACGUAGGGCAUGUCGCAUGCUUAAUAAUCCUCGAUGUUUUGAGCCCCAUGCAGGGGUAGGGGCACGUGGUUGUCACAUUAAAAAAAAUUUAUGUUUGGUAAAGAUUCAAUUUCAGUUUUUUUUCACAAUUUUUGGUGAAAAAAAAGCCAAAAACAAGAAGCUGCAAAAUCCAGCUUUAAAAAACCGGCUUUUUUCACAUCUGUUUUACAUAAAAGUUUACCAAACACAAUAAUACUGUUUUUUUUUUCAAAAGCAUUUUUAUAAAAAAGUUUACCAAACCCUCUACAGCUUUAUUUCACAGCCGCUUAUUCUUACAGCACAGCAGAAACAGUUUUUUUUCAAAGCAGAGCAAUACCAAACUAGUCAUAAGUGUGGAAUUUUUGGUGAUGAUCCGAGCAAUCAGUGCCAAAGACAUAAACAAGACAAUGAUCAGGUCCUAUCGUCCUCAACACAAAUAAUGCAUUUCUGGCUGCAGGGAAUAAGAACAAUAAUUGCAUGGUGGUGGGCAUCACCACAUAAUUGCAAGGGAGAAGUUAGCCACCUUUUCAAUCCAAUAUUCUUGUCUUACUUUUUCGGUUAUCUUUUUUUGAUGAUACAAGUUGAUUAAAAUCAUCACUUUUUGGAUCAUCCUUAACAACCAAAUUAUGAAUCUUUUAACGCACAAUUAACAUUGUAAAACAUGGUUGUCUAUGAUUAGAUGAAUGUUAGAUGACUAAAAAAUUUCGGAUUUGGUUGAUUUUGACAAGUUGAUCUUUAAAGAGUGAUCAUCGUGCAACAUUACGGAUUGAGAAAUAGAGCCGAGAAUCUAGAACGACAAGGUUCAAACGAGAUGGUUGCUCCUCUAAUUGCAAUAUUUGAUAUUUCUGUCCAUUUUCCUGAUAGGCAACUCAAUCAGUGUAAGGCGAACGUAAACUCAAGUACUUAAAAAGCAAUUAUUCGCUCCUGUCGCAGUAGGUUUGUGUCAAAAACUGUCGCAGGCAAUUAGAUUCAUGCAUAAAUGAUGAGCUCAUAAACAAUAUUUUGUUUCUGUUGGGCAACUUUUUACUAACUAGAAGCAACAGUUACAGGAAGGUGAACCUCUCCUAACCAGAAAAACAAAAUGAUCCAUUUGAUUAGACUCGCUCGGACUAAACAAAAUCAUCCGUUUCAUCCUAGGACUUUCGAAGGUUCUUUGUCGGAAGAACUGUAACGCUGUCAGUUGGUUCUUCAGGAAAAGCGUCCAGCAACUCAAUUCGCCAUGGGUGAACCACUGCUCCAACACCUCUCAACCCCGAAGAGGCACUGCAUCCAUAUUAAAGCCCUGAAAUUGAGGAGCCUCCGGUGGAAAAUGGAUGAGGCUAUAUGGAGAGAGGAGAAUGGCGAGCAUGAAAACGGUCACACCACAAUAGCCAUCACAGAGUGGAGAAGAAGGGCAAGGUAGCGAGGAGUGUGAUCAUGUAGAACAUUAUUCCUUUCACUACAAAGAUACCAAUUGAUGAAUCGGAACCAACAAAGCUCCUGCCCUGACAAGACAUGCCGCAGCUGCUUCCAUAAAUCCAUACCAGCACCUCAACACCUUUGGGAAGUGCAUCAGUAAAAGCCGUCGUCUCCUACUUGUCCAAACCAUACUGCAUGCCAACGGUUCAGAACUUACCCCACAUCUGAAGCAUGAGGCUGAGUUCCCCACCCAGUGCUUGGAAACAGAAUGCAGGAACGCAGAAGGGCAUGUCAUAAACAAAAUAAUCAAAUCCUUGUACCUUGGAACUUCCCAUUUACAAGAGUAUCAUAUGUAUUGUCAUCUGGAACAAGGCCUUUGUCAAGCAUUUCAUCAUGCAACCUAAAAGCCUCUUGCAAAUUACCCUCCUUGAAGUUUCCAGCAAUCAGAGUAUUAUAAAUGAACACUAGGAGUCAUACCCCGCCUAUCCAUGUCUUCCAAGUUCUUGCGUGCACUCUCUAGCUGUCCUUUGUUAUGAAGGGCAUUUAUCAGAACCGUAUAUGUGUUUGUAUCAGGUAUAAUUCCCUUCUGAAGCAUCUCUGAGUAGAGAUCUGUAGCAGAUUGUAACUCACCUUCUCUUAGCAAUCCAUCGAUUAACGUAGUGUAUGCCUUCAAAUCACAAGGAAUACCGUCUCUAAUCAUCUUGUUGUGCAUGUCAAGGGCUGCUUCCAUGUUAUUUAAAUUCCGGAAGCCAGAUAUCAUGCUACUGUAAACAACUACAUUUGGAGAUAAACCAACUUCAAGGAGUUCUGAGAAAAGUUCAUGGGCAGUUCUCAUGUCUCGUCUUUUGCAAAACCCAUCAAUGAGAGCAGAAUAUGCAGUAACAUCCACUUCGAUGCCCUUGUUUUUCAUCUCAUUCCACAUUUUCAAAGCCAUAUCAAUUUGAUUGCUUUUGCAAAACCCAUUAAUAAUGCUGGUGUAAGUGACAACAUUGGGGGAGACUUCACCUUCACACAUUUCUCUGUACACAGCCAGUGCAGAAUUAAUGUCACCCUCCUUGAUAUACCCAUCGAUAAUGCUAUUGUAACUAAUACAUCCAGGAACAAAACCCCUUGCAACAAUUUUCUUUAGCAUCUCACUUGCCUCAGACGUACGACCAGCUCUGCACAAGCCAUCAAUGACAAUGCCAACUGUGAAGCCUGUGGGAGAAAUCUUGGCAGCCACCAUAUCAUCAAAGACAUCAAAGGCACGCUCUACAUCACUGUUCUUGAAGUAGCCAUUUAUCAAGAUAGAAUAAGUCACAUCAUUUGGUUUCAAAUCCCUUUUAAGCAUCUCCACGAAUACAUCAUGCGCAUGCUCCAUAUUCCCUAUUCUGCAAUACCCAUGUAUCUUGCUAUUGUAGGAUACAACAUUAGGUACCACACCUUUAGACAUCAUUUUAUCCCAUAAACUACAAGCUUCACUUACUUUACCCUUCCCACAAAGCCAUGAUAAGAUAUUAUUAUACGAGAAAACAUUAGCAACACCACACUCAACGGCCUCAUCAAAAAACUUAGAAGCAUCUUCAAAUGACCGAUAUUUCAAAAAUCCUCGUAUCAAAUAAUUUACAAUGAAGACAUCAGGCAAAAUAUUCAUAUGUUUCAUUUGCUUGUAAAGCUCAUACGCCUUUUCCAUGUUCCCAUUCUUACAGCAGUAUUCUAUAAGAAUUGCAUAUGUAACCCUGUUUGGAGUAAGUCCAUCCUCUAUAAUCGUAUUGAACAAAGCCAAAGCACUCUCCAAAUUCCCUUGCACACAAUAACCCUUCAUCAAGCUUGUAGCAACAACCAAAUUAAUUGGGUUCCCACAACUUACCAUUCCAUCCUUAAUCCUCGUGGCUUCAACCAUAUUCCUCUGCUUUACACAAGCUGCGAUGACACUACUAAAUGUGACCAUGGAAGGAACCCAACCCAUUUUUCUCAUUUCAUUCAACAACUCCAGAGCCAAACACGAAUUGGGCUUCUUACAAAAAGCCUCAAUGGCAACACUAUAGGAUGCUGCAUCAAGUUCUACCCCUCUUGCCCUCGCCUCUCUAAAGUACUCCUCUGCCUCAUCCGGCUUCCCCUGCUUCAAACAACCACGCAUCAUCACGUGUAGAGUGACACGAUCACCUCCAAAUCCUCUCAAAGCCAUUUUAUCACACACCUCUCGUGCUUCCCCAAUCAUAUUUCUCCUAACCAAUUCUGUUAAAAGAAUAUUCACAUACGUAACACAAGGAUACAUCUCAUGCUCUAGCAUUCUAUUAAAGCAAUCAAUCGCACAUUCGAUUCGAUUGGCUCUAACAUAACUGUUCAAUAAAUAGCCAAAAACCUGAGAUUCUAGUUCAAAAUCAAACCUUUUGGCGCAGUCCACCAAGUGAUCGACAAAUACUCCUGGAACCGGGCCCGAAUCACCGGAAACGUACUGGUUAAGCAACAUCUUAGCACGCUCGUGAGUAUUCGGAGAGCCCAUCAAAAUGUGAAGCAACACACAGACAGCAUCGACACCUCUGACAAGGCCUCGCUCCCUCUCAGCCCAUUUGAAGUAUUUAAUUGCCGAAUAUGGCUUACUUUUGUGGCUAAGAAGAGUGCUAAUCACACUGGUUUGUGUUAAUUCGGAGUCUUGUGAAAUUGGGGCGGCGAACUCGCCCUGAUUGGGGUCUGAUGCAACUGGGUUUUCGUGAAAUUCGAUUUCUAAAGUGGGUUUCUCUGGAAAAUCAGAUUUUGGAGCGAUUUCCUCUGGAAAACCUGAGCUCGGAUUGGGAUUCUCGGAAAAUGGUGGCGAUUCUGAACGGGGUUUGGAAGAGAGGAAUUUAGGGUUUAAGAAAGGAAGGCGACGUAGUGGAGGAAGUGGUGAGGAAUUGAGGGGCUUCAUUGUUUUAGGGUUUUUGCUGCAGAAGAAGAAAUAGCAGAAACCCUAAUGGAGAUUAAAGGUUUCGGCUCGGCGGCGAGAGUGAUGAAGUGAGGAAGGGGACGACAACAGAAGCUGCGGCGCGAGCUUUGGCCAUUUUACGAUUUACCCCUUUGAGUUAAAAUUCAAAAGCCAAAUACAUAUCAAGGAUUUUAAUUUUUUUUUUUGGGCAAAUCAGAAAAAUGGUGCUUGCUUUAUAAAAACAUUACCACUUGAUUAUUUGUAUGUGUGUGAAUGUGUUAGGUUGGAUUUUCGGAAGCUGGGAGUUGAAUACCACAUGCAUAUGGUGGGCAAAUUAUGUGACAUAAAAAUACUACUAUAUUCGAUGGGAAAUAAUUAAAACUUGGUGUUAAUGGACGGAAACACUAACUCGACGGUCUUAUUUAAUUCACAUUUGCAUUGCUUCUUGACUCAUCUAUUUUGUUUACCAAAUAAUAGAGUGUUUCUUCUUAUUCAGCGCUUUUAAGUUCAUUUUGUAAGAGACUUGUAGCUCAAGUGGUUAAGAGUAUCGAAUUUAAAACUCAUUUUUUUUAUAGAAGAGAAAAUCAAACCUCGAGAGUGUGCAGAGGCAAAUGCUUUAAACCGCUACUCCUACAAGCCUGCUGCACUAGUAGUCUAUUUUUAAGAUUAAAUUUGCUACUCCGUAUAGCUUCUUUUACCAACCGAGACAUCAGUUGAAUACGAUAAGUAUCGACAGUGUACUUAGUUCAAGAACUUGAAUCCAUGAGGCCAAAGACACGAGAUUUUGCCACAUCUUCGGAAUAUAUCCCUGUAUGAGUGUCUCACUCGUCACGUAAUUUGGCUAUGCGAAAAAGACUAGAGAUCCAUCUCCAAUGAACCUAAAAGCAAUAACAAACCAGAUGUACACUAAUUUUUUUUUAUCCGAGAACUUGAUUAACUGUUCUGUAUCGGUCUUCAAUGACCAUGUUCUAAAACAAUUAGCAAUUCACGACGGUACGAAGAACUUAAAGAGUCCUGGCCUACAUCAUCGAUGAAGAAAUUUUUAAUCCCAAUAGCCUACUCGACGAGAAAAUAGGUUGCUAAGAAUUUACAUUUGAAAUUAAUAGUUCAAUUUCCUGAAUGGAUGGUAAAUCAAGCCUCAUCAGUCAUCAACAUCGCUUCCACCAAUCUGAGCUUCGAGAGCAAUCGAGUAGUUGCUUCCAUCAGGACCGAGAAUCUGAAAUCUGCUAAAGAACAAAGAAAAUCACUCUAAAAACUUUUAAUGCAGCAACCACAGACACCAAUUUGGUUUUACCUCUCAAGGAUAAACUUUCCUUCCUUGUACUUCUGGGAUUUCUCAUGUGCAGCCUCCUGAAAUUGAUAACCAAAAUAUGAGUUUCAUACAGCCAUCAGCGGUGAAAGUACUGUAAAUAUCCACACAAAAAACAUAGUUUUGGAGAAAAUAUCUUCUUACAUAUUUCCACCCCACAUUUGAGCCACAUGAAACACAAAAUAUGUCAGCUACAGUAUGCAAUCCUGUUAUCAUGAUCCGCUCUUCUUGCUCUCCAAGUGUGACAUUUACACUGCCAUUGGGGAAACAAAAGGUUAAUUCAGCAUUCAUGUGUAUAAGCUGCAGUUGGUGUGAGUUAUGCAUAAGCCGCCUUCAUAGGAUUCAAGUGAACGAAAAUGCUUUUUUGAGACAAAGACAUUAUGCUGUCAUCGAUUCAUUAUUCUCUUUCUUUUUCCACCCUCAAAGUUAAGCUUUCAAAUUUAUCAACAUAAAUGAAUCUUCUGGCCAAUGUCAAACCAUGUUUGGUUUGCUGCUAUAAGUCAUUCUGUAUCGGUGGACAAGAAAAAAUACGUGCACAUGGAAUGAGCAAGUUUUUUGUCACAAGUGAGACCAAAAUAACUUGCACACCCAUGACCCUAAAAGUACAUAAGCAUGCAUCAGCAUAGCUAUGGGUGAAUCAAUUUCAAAUUUUCAAGAGUAAAAUAGUACUGCACUUACACUUUAUCGAAAAGAUAAGCCUUUCCAUGCCUGCAGUGAAAAGACUGGAACAAAAACAAAAGCAAAUCACAGGGUUAGAAUGUCACUAAUCAAUCCUGAUAUCAAACAUAUAACAUCAUAAAAGAGGGAUUAAUGUACAUAAGCAUCAAGCAAGAAGUGGGAAGAUAUGAUCGAAAAAGACAAGCCAAGAAAAACCUUGCUGCUCUCAGAUGGGUAAUGUAAUCAGGACAGUAUAAAGAUAGCUUUUUUGAGAAGAGGACAGUAUAAAGAUAGCUUUGCGGCAUAAGUUUUACACCGAUACAAUAUUUACAGGGAUAUUCAAGCUACUUACAAUUAACCAGAAUUUAAGAGGUGUUAUAGUGCGCAAAUAAAUAAUUAAAGAGCUACCAAACUGCAUCGCUUUUGUUUCCAUAUAGUUGACGUUCAAACCAACAAUAACGCAAGUAAGCCGGACAACAUUUUGGCCUAUAAUUAGAGUCUUAGAGAACAGAGACGCAAGUUCCCAUCUAAUCUUGCAGCCAAAUUUAACUAUUAAACCAGGAAAGUGUAAAGUAGAUAUCUUUGACCUAAUCUUAGCAGGAAUUAAGUACCUAAUUCUUCUCCAGCAAGUAAAGCAUUAAUCUGUGCUCCAGCAAGUAAAGCCAUAAUCUGUGUUUCUAGAAUUGCAUGAUUAAAUCCAAUACCAUCAUAGAGGCUUUACAGAUAAAGGUUCUAAAUUUUGAGCAUUUUGUAAUGAGCCAUAAACACAAUUAGGAAAUGAAACGCGCAAGCCAUUUCACAAGAAGCCAAAGCUGAUUGUAAUGAGCCAUAAACACAAUUAGGAAAUGAAACCCUGCACCACUAAUAAAAGAAGGAACCGAGAAACAACCCAAUGUUUAAGCUUCCAAUGUCAACCACUUUGAACAUGAACGAUCGCAUUGCACUACGGUAUAACGGUACCACAACUCCUCAAUAUCACAAACAAAACACUCCAAAAAAAAAAAAAAAAAAAACCUAAAACCAACAAUGUACAUAUCACAACUCCUCAACAUCCAACGAUUAGACCCACACAAAUUACAUUCAUACGCCUAAUACCGAUCAAUCUCUCUUCGAAAAUCGCCACACAUUUACAUAUCACAACAAUGCAUCCCAAUUUCACAAAGUUCAUGAAUGUCUAGGUAGAGUGCAUUAUGCAAAUAAACAGUAACAAUCCAUAACAAACAGAAUUACGGAGAAGGCGAUUUCGGACCUUAGAGAUUACGUCGUCCACAAGACCGAGAUGGGUUCUGCAGUGCUUGCAGCUAUACAUGUUUUCCUCAAGAGUGGUCACAAACAGCCUUCCCAUUUUCUCACGUACAAUUCAACUUUCUUGAUUUCUUGAUUUUCUUUCCCUGCAAAAACAACAAGAUCGGCCUCCAUGUUAGAAAUUCAAGCAUUCCAAACGAAACCCAGAAAUUAUCUCGACGAAAAUUUGAGAAAAAUCAAUGUGACUAAAACCUCAAAAUUUCAGGGAAAAAUAACGAAAAAAAGAAAGAAGAAAUGGUGUACAAUGCAGGCAUGUAUUUCCAAUAACCGUGUAAUAUGAAGGACAAGAAGAAGAACAGAACGACGACGUACAAAUGGGUUUUUGUGUGAUCUUUGCCGGUAGUUACAGAGGGAGCUGAACAGAAACGAAAGCUUUCAUUGAGAUUUGAGAAGAAGAGAAGUGAUAGCUUUUAAACAGAGAAAGUGCUUUUCCGAGUGUAAAUAUAUAAUAAGACAAUUAACUUUUUUCAUUAUCUCAUUUUUAUUUCUUUUAUCUUUUUUAAGUAAAAUAAUUUGUCUUUAAAUUAUAGAAAUGUAAUUUAAAAAAAAAAAUUAGAAUGAAUCUGAUAACUUCAAUGAAAAAAAUGUAGAUUUUAAAGAAAAGAUUAAUACCAGGAAAAUCUAUGUGUUGGGUGGGUUUUCGAAGGUCAUGUUUUGGUAUGUUGGGUUGUUUAUCGCUAAUCUCUCAUCCCUCGUUAGAGUUAGCAAAAUAAAUUAUACGUAUUUUUUUAAACAGACGAUAUUAUUUACACUGGACGGUAAAAAGGUGGGUUUAGCCUCACAAUAGCUACCAAUAGUGCUGUUCAAAUUCGUUUAUAUUUAAAAGUUAGUAUCAUUCUAUCACUUAGUACUACGGUCUGGUGGUACUUCUCUUUACUUGAAAGUGAAAGGUCUUAUGUUCGAAUCUCGUGGAUAGCGAAUUCGAUACCAAAUUAGGCUGUCCAUUGUGUGGCUUUGCCAAACUUCCCCUCCCCUUAAUGUAAAAAUAUCGAUGUACUCAAACAAAAAAAAGUUAGUAUCCUUCUUUAAUUUGAUAUGUUAAUCUAGAAACUGUUAAUUAAUAGUCUUUGCAUCACUAUCGAAUAAUGUUAAAUUCUCGGAUUAAGCAUUAAAUUCUCUAAGAAGAAUGAAUUUUCAUUUCUCUAUUGUGUGAACCGAUGACUCAUAGGAUUAAAAAGACAAUAUAUUUCAUUAUUAUUCUUUGUACAAACGAGAUUCAAACUCAAGCGUUAGGAGAUCACUCCGCUCGCUAACGUGACUACGUUCAUAUGCAUCACGUUAUUAUUAUUAUUUUUCUGAAAUAAAUAAAGUUUGCACAUGUUUAAAACUUUUCAAAAGAAAAAAGAGGAAGAAUUAUCAUGGCCUAUUGUUUGGUAAAACAACUCGUCGCCAAUAGGAAAAGGCGACGGUAGAAAGGGGUUGGAGAAAGAGUGCGAGGAGGAAAAAGCCAUUGUUUAGACCAUCUCCAAUCCUUGGGCUAAAAACCAAAUUUUUUAGCCCGGAAAAUUUAGCUUGUAGCCCAGAAACAUAUUUUCUGCUUCAACCCUUCUACCCUAAAAUUUUAGCCCGGAAUUAUUAAAGAAUAAAAUUAGCCUAAAAUUUUUUCUUAAAUCAAUUUUAAAAAAAUAAAUAAAUAUGUAGAUUAUUGUAAAUUAAUUUUAUGAACAUUUUAAUCUAAAAAAAUUUAAAUUCCGAUAAACAUUUUGCAUUUAGCCCGGGGGGAAAGCUGGGGGGUAUUUGGCCCAGAAAUAGCAUUUGGCAUUUAGCCUAAAAUUUUAGCAUGGGUUGAAGAGUGUUUGGGAGGUAAUUUGGCUUUUAACCCAGGGUUAGAGAUGGUCUUAGCGAGACAUGCCAUGAAACCCAAUGAGACUCUGAUUUGGCUGGAGAACGUAGAGAAGAUACAAUUCACCAAAAUCCCUUUCCCAAGAAGGUGCCAAAGGACACGAAAGAAACGUUUCACUUGGUGUGACUAGACCGAGGCAGAAAAAGCCAACCCAAUCCAACUAGACAUGGUUCUCAAGAGUCUAACGCCUAAACAUCUAGGCGGGCUUUAGGCGGGCGUAGGCGAUUAUUUUAAUUGUAAUUAAAUAUAUUACAUAGCAUAUAAAAAUAUUUAUUUAUACUUAAAAAAACAUAUAAUUGUCUCGCAAUACAUAAAAUGUAAAGUAGAGAUUAUCUAUUUUUUAUCUAUGUAAGAGUUGCAACAUAGGCGGCCUACGCCCAUUCUUAGAUUUUAAAUGCAUAAAGAUUAAUCCUGAUGGUGACAACCGCCUAGCGCCUAGGUGAGGCCUAAGCGGGGCUUUUUAUUUAGAAUGCUAGACAUGCAACUUUUUUCUUUCCCCUUUGUUUUCCUCUUUUGACAAGAAAAUCUAUACCAUCACCAGUUUUAUGCAGCCAUGUGUUUACUUUUGUUAUCACGCGACUAUUCACGCUGUGAUGAGAGAUAGAUACGUAAUUGCUCUUAGAACUUGGUGAUCCCACAUCAUAUAACGUACCUUAAUUCUUGAAGUGGUUUAAAGAGCUCUUGGUCACCUUUCCCUUACAAGUAGAUUUUUAGGGGCAAGUUUCUACUCUUAGUAAUUGGUACCAGAGCUAGUUUCACCACGCAACUGGAUCCAACUCCAGGGAAGGGACAAGCCGCCUCUACGAAGGGCUACCGCUAGGUCAGGGUACAAAGCAAAACUUCCCCAGCCUCUAAAUGAAAUCAAACCAGUUGACAAAAAACUAAGUUUUUCUUGAAACUAAGUUUUUGUUGAAUCAAUAAUCUAGAGACUGUUAAAUUGACCAGUGGACGAGAUAUAGCACAAGAAAAUAACUUGAUAGAGAACGAAACAAGAGCUAAGACAAAGGAACUUGAUGAGCUGAUGGCUAAACCUCGAGGAGGGCCGGAAGUUCAAACGACCUUACUUGAUCUUCCUUGACUAAUAAUAUUCCAAUAAAAGGCUGCUGCCAUGGCAAAUGGUCAAAAUAUAAGAACUCCAGAAAGAAAAAAGUAUAUGUUCUCCCGUUCAAAAGUGGGGAUCAGCAAGUGUGUCCAACUAUGACGAUGAAAUCGUGUCUUGCGGUGUUAUUCUCUCAACAGCACCCAUUCUCUGAGGAGGCCACACAAUGUGGGUAACCCUUCCUUGAACUAAACCCAGAGGAAUCUGCCAACAACAGCUUGUUUAACUUAGCCAAAGUGUCCAAAAAGUAGAAGAAAGCCAACAUGUUCAUAGGUAACUUCUGAAAGAAAUUCCUAAAAUAUGUCAAGCACUACACUUAGCAUUACAAAAACAUCUAGCAUAACCUCGGGUUGCAAACUUCUUCCAAAAUGAUAAGUCUUGUGCUAAUGCCAAACUAAUUAUAUAUACAGCAAUUCAAAUUUAUCGUGUCCUGAAAUAACAUACUGUCUCAUUUAAGCGAUUUCCAUCCUACUCCGCAUUUCAAAAAAUUUUAGAGUAUGCAUAAACAAGCAGAGUGAUUUGCCAUAAAUAUACAGAAGUAAGUUCAGAUACCUAGUCAGAGAAUGGUUUCCACAUCUUUAGGCACCAAAUCAAUAUAAUUAAGGCCACGAUGAUAAAUUAUACUAUCGUUAAACUAAUUGUUUUUAGUGCACAAACUUAGCAGUAAGGGGAACUUACUGGUCCAAACGACUUUGAAUCCAAGCUAGAAGAUGAAUUGUCUCCCUCAACCCAACAAUGUCCUUCUGGAAUUUUCACCACGUCAUAGGAACGACGCGUUCCAAUCCACUCACCAGGUAAGGCAGUUAUUCUCUUUAUGUGACUCUCCUUGUGGUUACUUGGGGAGCUGCAAAAUGUUCCAACAAGUCUAGUUUCUUAUUACAAUUAACCAGACAGGCAGACACAAAUGGUAUUCGAGCAGCAUUGGGGGCAAAAAUUACCGGAAAACUACCACGUCACCAUGUGAAAACUUGUAGCUUUGAAGACACCGUUUCUCCACCAAAACAUAGUCAUCUGCAACCAAAUCACAAUCAGAGCACUAAAUAAAGCAUCACAUUGCACAGCACAACAAUCUUAACAAGAUAUCUUUCAAUAUACCAACCAAUUGGCAAGCCCAUCAAAGAAGUAGUUCCAGGGUUUAACGUAGGCGACAUAGAGGAACCGCGCACCGGAGCAACACUCGCAAAUCGGUCUGAAACAUAUAAGCCUAUGAUCCCACAUGUGAAAAACUUGUUGCCGAAAUUCCACAAACCACUCCGAGUUCCCAUGGUCAAUCUUUUUCCGUAAAUAUUCACAUUUCAUGUGCAAAAUGCAACCAUCUGUAACAUUAUCAUCAAAUUUACCAAACAUAAAAGACAGUUCAUAACUAACGCAAAAGAUUUAUACAAGCAAAAACAGUAUCAGGUCUCUCAGAGGCAAACAAUCAAACACCUGGUGAGCCCAAUGGACGAGAGGGAAAGGAGAAGGUUACCAUUAGGAAUGUUUCAAAUUAGCUGUCGAAGCAGCUUCCUUCGCCGGCGGGAGUCUUCGUUAAUGGAGAUGAGGCGGGAGGAGGUAGGUCGUGUACUGCCGCCGUCGUGGACUCGUGAUUUGGAGGAGAAGCAAAGUCUGGACUAUUUUUCGGAUUUUGAGCUAACAGAUGCUUUUUGCUCAAGGGAUUUGAAUUUUACCGGAUUUGGGCCGUUUGAAGUUGCAAAAGUGGGAAUUCUAAGCCCAAUCCAAUCGAAGAGUUAAGACUACCGAAGGAGGGGAGUUGAAUUUAUACCGGUUGCAGUGGUAAAUACUCUUUGUGAUUUUUGCUACAAGACCUUGUAGAACUCUAUAUUGUUUUUACGCGAAAAAAAUGACUCCAAUUAAGUUGAUUAUUGUAGUUUCGAUCUUUUUUUUUUAAGAAAAACGACAUUUUAUAAGGAGUGAGAUUCUUAUUCGUCGCCAAAUUAAUAAGUUGUGUUAUUAUGGUUGAAUCUCGAACUUGAUAUGCUAUGUUUUCUUUUCUUCAAUUGGGUCCUUAGGGUUUUGAAAUUUUCAAUUUUCAAUUAGAUAAUUGUAAUUAGAUUUUAUUCACCCACAAGAACAUCUUAAAUAGUCGAUCAAGGCUAAAAGAAAAUUGGUGAAUGCAAUAUGUUUAUUUUCAAUCAAGUUUCUAAAGUGAAAAAAAGGUCAACUUUUUCUGCCUUAAAAAGGGAUUAGCUGAUGACUUCAUGACUUCAACACGUGAGUCCAUCAUAUCGAAGGUCGGGAAGACUCAUAAAGGUAUUUCAACCUUCCCUAACCACCAUCAUGUGAUUCAUCAAUGCCAUAAUUGAAUUCAGAACGUGUCAUAUAAAAUACGGGCCUAGAAUUCAUCCCCAACCACUGAGUCAUCUCGUGGUGGUUAAAAAAUAUACUUAUUAACUCGAAAUAAAUUGUUUUACGUCUAAAGCAAGCAUCGUAAUAUAUCAACCAUGUAGUCAUUUAGCAAGUAGGAAAAGCUCACAUGCCAUUGCAUACACUAAUCCUUUGAUCCCAUCACAAUCUUUACAAGCUUAAGCAGUACAUAUCAUGAUUCAGAUAAUUAAUCAUGGUCUACUGAUUAAAAAACCAAACAUGAUAUGCACAUAAAGAUACUUCUCUAAGAAGAGAAGGCGUCAAUAAUGGUGGUGUGGAGCGGGUCACUCAAAUGGGUAGCCCAGUUGUUAAGUGGUCCCUUCCCGGUGACGGCGGCUUGCACGGCAAACCCCAGAAACGCAACCAUGGCGAGGCGGGCGUGCUUGAUUUCGGCCAGCUGAAGAGUGGCCUUCUUUUCCGGGUCAGCAGCAAGGCCCAACGGGUCGAAGAACUUGCCACCCGGGUACAACCUCUUUUCCGGGUCGAGCUCGGCGUUCCUCUGGAACUCGAUGUAGCCAAUCACUAGAACUUCGAUCCAGAUCAACGUGGUUAGUGAGAAAGGGAGUGGUUGACCCAAGUAGGACGACCCUUCGAUGAGCUCCACCUGUACAAAUUGGUCAACAUAAUUAGUGUUGACUGUGAGGCGAAAAGACAAAAAAAUACACUUCAUGCAAGCAUAGUUCUUGCAAUCUUUCUUAAAAGAGAGUUAGUCAAGUGGUGAGUUGGAGCGCAGCGUCUAGGCAGGAGUUUGGGUAGAUUAAGCAAAUUUAAGUAAAUUUAUUAUAUAUUUUUUAAAUAAAUGUUUAAUUAUACCGAAAAAUACAUAAUUUUAUUGAGAUACUAAACUGCAAAUUAGGCGGGUAUGUACGGAUGCCUAAGCAGGUCUAGGUGUUAUUUUUUAAUUUUCAUGUUUUAACUGGAGAGGUAACCAACCAUCUAACGUCUAGGCGACGCUAGCGGAAAUUUUAGAACAGUGAGUUCAUGUAAUUUGUUCGCUCAUUCAAUGUUACUCUGAAUCUUUUCGUUAUUUAAGUGAUGGUGAGGAGUGACAAUCAAAUUAUGAACUUUGUUACGAGGGAGAAUAUAGUCAAUUUCAUUUGGCACCAAAUAAAAACAUGCAAAUAAGUUAUGUACCUUUCCGGCGUCUUGCCAUGUGAUCCCGGUGACGGACUCGACAGUGAGAGCACCGAGCGUGGCGAGCAUGGCCCACCUUCCAUGAAUCAGCUCGCACUCCCUAAACCUCUGCAGCCCAAACACCUCCGAGUAAGGCUGAAACGGCGUCGACUGGACGUCCGCGGUUUCGGUUCGGGUCCCAAUAAUGUCACCCGCCAAGUUCUUGGCCAAAUUCUGGUCCAACCCGUCGUAGUCGUACUGCAAAUACUCCGCGGGUUUGCCCAAACCGAACGGGUCGAACCCGUAGUCGCCCACCAAGCUCCCGUCCAGCCAUUCAGGAGCCUUGGCGCCCGGGUACCAGAGCGGGCGGUCUGUUGUGAAAGUGGGUUUUGUUUUCUUGGGCUUUUUGGUGCCGAAUCCGAAACGGGCCUGGACCCGUCCCGAGUUCGAGUAGGCGUCGGUCGGAAGGCGUGUCCCGAUGAAUGAGGAUGCAGCGGCGGCAGCAGCUGCGGUUGUUGCCAUGGUUGUGUGCUAAG